GGGACGAUGGUGACUUCUCGCAACCCUAUGGUGCGUACGUGUCGGCGGUUUGAAACUUUGGUUCGAUUUGGUGAACUUGUGGACUACUGGAUGGUCGUGAUAUAUAUACAUGAUCUUCGUGAUAUAUAUAUAUAUGUGAUGUUCGUGAGAUGUAUGUGCUCGUUGUCGACUCUGUGUGUGUGAAGGUAUAUAUAUGUAUCUGUCUAUUGUCUGGAUGCAAAUAAACAAAAAAAAAUUAAAAUUUCUCUGGUCUUUGCCGAGGGCCUUGACCAUAGCCCUCGGCAAAGAUUUUAAAUUUUUAUUUGGGUAAUUUCUUUGCCGAGAGCUACCAUGCAGGCCCUCGGCAAAGAAUUCUCCAGAAAAAAUAAAAAAAGAUACUUUGCCGAGGGCCUGCAUGGUAGCUCUCGGCAAAGAAAUUACCCAAAUAAAAAUUUAAAAUUUCUUUGCCGAGGGCCUGUAUGGGAACCCUCGGCAAAGAAUUUACCAAAAUAAAAAUUUAAAAAAUUCUUUGUCGAGGGCCCAACGUUCGGCCCUUGGCAAAGACGCCGUCAGUUACAGCCAGUGGCCUAACGGCAUCUUUUUUUCGCCGAAGGCCGGCGUCAGCCCUCGGCAAAAUCUUUGCCGAGUGCCCGACAGAAGGCCCUCGGCAAAGACCCCUUUGCCGACGGGAAAUUUCCCGACGGCUCUUUGCCGAAGGCAGCCCUCGGCAAAGCCUUUGCCGAGGGUCUUAUAGCCUUUGCCGAAGGCUGGAAGCCCUCGGCAAAUCCUCUCUACAGUAGUGCUACGAUAAUUUCCAUCAUGCAUGACACCCAUGAAACCCACCUUUCUGAUCUUAAGUACAAGAGUCAAAUUGAUUAGCCACACCAAAACUUGAGCCCCUGAUCCAACCAAAGCGCAUGAGUAAAGGAAAGGCCGCCAUCCCAUGUCUCCAUCUCCGGUUUUAUCGAUGGGAUCAUCGCCAUCAACAGCAGGUUGACAAGGAGGGAAAAUCGCGCUGCCAAAAGGACGUUGGCAACAACCGUACAACUAGGUACCUUCCCCAACCCUUCGCGACAAGGGCCUGCUCCACAUAGACACGGAUCCCCACACCUAAAGCAUAAUGAUUUCCUCCAUUACUAAUGAAGGUACGUAAACUCAAGAGAUCUACUAAUCUAAGUCUAAGAUCAUGUGUCCUAAUCCUGUUUCAAUUUUAAUCCUAAGUAAUUUCUAACAGUUUGUUAUCAGGAUCGGUAUAAAUAAAUAUACUCUUAAGUUAUAUGCAUGUACCAGUGCAAUUCCCACUGAUGAGCAUAACAUGGAAAGUCAAGAUAGAACUUUCAUCAUAAUCAUCUAUGGACAAACUAAUUCCGACCUAACAUGUCAGCAUCAAACUCUUGGCUGACUUAUAUAAAAGAUCAAAAUUACAAUGUAAGGAGAAGUUGUCAAUGACUUUGUUUUUCCUAUUGCAGCGCACGAGCAUAUUUUGCUAGUAAAUAUAAUAUAAAAAUAUAUCUUAUGAAAAAAUUAAUAAUAGUCAUUUGAUAUUAUAAAUAUUAGUAUUUUUUAUGUAUAGUCAAAUUUAAAAUGCUUUAACAUUAAUACUAUGCUAGAAGCCUAGAAUUGCAUUCUUAGGCUGUCUCCAACAACCACUGCCCAAACACAACACGCAUUCUCUGAUAUAGGUCGAGUACAGUGUAUAGGUUUCCCACCCAAAUCGCUCCUUCUCCAACAGAGUGCGCCCCAAAUCCUGCCGCCUACUCCCAUAGAUGGUUCACCUCUUCCACGCCGCCUGCUCCGCGGGCCGGUUGCCCCUCGCCGCGCUGGCCACGCCCCACCGCGGCCGCUCCUCGUCUUCUCCAUCUCCUUCGCAGGGGACAAGCGGGUGUAGGGCGCCGCCGCCAACCCCGCCGUAGAAGACGCCGCCGUCGGUGCUCCCACAGUCCACGCGGGCCCUGCCAUCUCCUCGCCUCUUCCUGCGGAAGCCCGAGCUAGGAGGUCGCCGGCUGCUUCAUCUUCUACAGCCGGAGAAGAUGGUGAGCGGCUCCGCCAUCGACGCUGCCGCCGUGGACAUGGCCCCACCAUCUCCUUGCCCUCGUAGAUGACUUAUGCGCGCUGGCUUCUCCUCCCUUUGCACCUCGCCAUGGGCCACUAUGCGCCACGGAUUAGAUUCUUUGCGAGCACGCGACGCUUCUUUGCGUUUCCAUUCGGCCGUUACCCAAAAUAGGUCAUGCGUUUGAGUCUUCCAUUGGAGGCUGAUUUUGGUAUGCAAAGUAUUGUGCAGGACCUAUUUUUGCAUUUGGGUCUUAUACAGUCUUAGAACAUAGUCAAUUGGAAAAUAAACUUGUUUUACCAUGUGUAACCAUAUCUUAUAUUUGAAAUUUCAUGUUGACAAAUAAAUAUUUAAUAGAAAAUUGCUCCCGUGCUUUUGUCAUAGACUCGUAGUUGACCGUACGAGAUCGGAAGGGACGAAACAAUCAGCUAUCGUCCGGAUUUUAUCCCCUACCUUUCAGGCUUGUAAACAACGCUGGCAAGUUUUAUCCAUAUUAUGAAGUUAUAUUUAUUAUAUUUGUUCAUUAAAACCAAUAAACUAAAUCGCUACUACCUCUCUUAUGUCCUGUAAUAUACUGUAUUUUAAAAAUUUUAAGACAAAUUUUUAAAAAAAUUAAGAGAAAACUUAAAAGUGUAACACCCCAAAAUUUGGUCCUUUCAAAAUAGAGCUAAAAUAAUUUAAUUUGGUAUUUUUGAGCUCAUGAAAAUAUAGGAAAAAUAAUAUUUUUUAGUAAAUUAAAAUUUAUCAUAAGGCAUAGUAAUAUUAUUAUGCAUACAUGUUGGUGCAUAAGAUUUGAUGUAAUGUUUGCUUAUUGCUUCUUUGUGUGUUGACAGUGAGUGGAGUGUUUAAAAUACGUUAGUAGGUCGAUCUCCCUUCUUCGGCACGGAUUUAUCUUUUUUUCUACAAUCAAAUUCCUUGUUUUCUAGCCUAUGCUUUUGUUUCGAGUUUCCCAAAAUCUUUUCUUUGUAACCCAAAUCAUUCCUUUCAGUUCCUCAACCAUCAAUCAAUCUCUAAAAACUGACCAAGAAUUAUUCUAACACUUUUUAAGGAACUUGUUCCCACUUGACUAUGAGCAUAAUCUAAUUUUUAGAUGCUCCGAAUUAUCUUAUCAUGAGCUCCAAAUACUUUAUUUGGGUUCCUCAUGUUUCAUAAUAUCUCCAAGAAUUUUUCCUGAAUUUUCAGAGCUUUUGAAAUAUUUUUCAUGAAUUAAAUAAUAAUUCUGGACUUUUCUAGAAAUAUCUUAUUCACAAAAAUAAUUAAUUUCGGAAAUAAUAAAUCUUUCAUUCUACCCCAACGCUGAGCCCAUGAUCUCAAAGGCCAAGGUAUUUAUUUACUAGUGGGCUUUAAUAAUUAAUUAGGCCUAUUAGUAAAGGUGGAAGGGGCAACAUCAAUUAGUACCAUAUUGCUAAUUGAUGUAGUUGUGGAGAGUUUUCCUCCAUAUAUAUAUAUAUAUAUAUAUAUAUGUACCAACCCCUUAGGUUAAGUACAUCAAAACUACGAGGAGCCCCUAGUUUGGGAAUUCCUAAGGUAGAUCAACAAGAAAGCCGACACCAUGCCCGAUCGCCCUCAGUCCUUGGUCCAAGGUCAAGCCGCCCUCGGCUGCUGUGUCACACCCGGUUUUAAGGAACAAAACCAGACUAGCUGUAUGUGUGUCCAGGAAGUCCACACAUACAACAACAGAAAGGAAUAGUAUCAAAAACAAUGUUGUAUAGCGGAAACAUACAUAUAAUAGACAUUUACAUCAGAGUAUCGCGGAAUGAUAACUAAUCUUUAGGCUCAAUCUUUACAGGGACGGCUGACUGGGGGUAACAUAUGCCUAACACUUCUUGUAUCCUAAUAACAUCCUUCGUGACUCCAUCACCCUUCUGAUCAACUCUUUCUAGUAGACUGGAGUGGUGAGAAAUAGCAAGAGUGAGCACAUAUCGUACUCAACAAGUAUAACCAGAGGUUCAUGAGGCUCAAAUAGCUGACACUGGUUUGACUGCAUUUAGCUUUUAAUAGUGGAUAGCAUGUUCUUAAUUAAAUAGCAAUUGUCAAGGUAGCAUAAGUAAUCCAUUAAUCCCAUGAUCAAGUGUAAGCAUAAUUAAUUCAUAGCAUAAACGAUAGUCAAAUAAACAUAACAACUUAAUAAGCUCAUCGUCGGCGCAGCAAGAACCCCCAAGGCCGCUCAUAACCGUGAGCAUGGCUAGUAUACCAGUUUUACACUCUGCAGAGGUUGUACAUCUUUACCCAUGAGUCAUGAUUUACCCUUUCGCCCGAGGUAGCUAAUCUCUUAACCCCCUUCCUAGGGAGGUCGGCAGGGAUCACUAUGAAGCCUUUCAAAAGUUCGUCUAACAUGUUAGGGCCGCAAGGUUUCCUUUGCGAGCAGAUAUAGAUACCCCCCUUCCGAAUGGCACAAUGACGCGCAGCCUAUACACAUAGGGACAGGGGCUCGCACUAUACCCGUGUCGGUUCAGCCCCUCCGCCCUUUCGGGUAACCUCUAACAAGCUAAAAAAGGUCUUCAUACUGAGCUAAAGCCAGAGCCAUUAUAGCCCUCAUGGUUGCACUGUUGUCCCGGUGAUCACUUACAGACAAGAUCUCAUAUAGUUAUUUGUCAUCAUUUAACGUUCAUUGCAUAGCUAUUAAUCAUCUUACAAGAUCAUAGAUUAUAUCAAGCACUAGCACAUCUACACCAAAUGCAUAUCAAGUAGGUAGCAAGGAAUACAGGUAACAAUCAUCUAUGAUUUUGCUAAGGUCGACAAGAUGAUAGCAUGCAUAUGAUAUAUAUGUGUAGUUAUAAGUGAAUAGGUAACAAGGAUGAUCCCAAGUUAUACUUGCCUUAAACACUUGCUUAAUUCUCACACCAUUAGCUUUUGGUCAUCAUCUUCUGAUCUUCAGCGCCCACAAACGGUUCUCGUCUACUCGUAGCAAGCACCACACAUAGGCAAACAUACAAGCAACAAACAGAAAUAACUAAGAACAGUACACCACACAAGAUCACGCAAUGUACUAAAGGAGAACAAAUUACUACAGGCACAAGAUGACAAAAAAACGCCGAUAACAGAACUACGCUUAAAACAAACGACUAUGAGAAAAUUCACAUCAUAACAGUAAAGACUAUAUGCUUGCUUUAUUAUAAUUACAAAACCAUAUGAAGUAUAUUAAUUCAGAUUAGUCACUAUGCAUUUCAAUUGAAAGACCAAGUUUUGAAUCUAGUAAUUUUAAUUAUAGAUAUUUUAAUGCCUUUUUAUAUACCAAUCAAUUAUACUUUAAUUUGCAAAAACAAAGUAAUAUUUGAGAGCAUAUAAUUAAUGGAAUUUUAUCUGAUGCAUUGUUAAACUAAGCAAGUUAUAAAUUAAAAAUAUAUUUCUAUAUUGUUUUAAUUUAGAAAGCAGUGUGAACAGAGAGUAGUCAAAAUUAAUAAAUAAAUUAAAAAUUUUAGAAAACAUGAAAUACGUUCAGAUGCGACAUAGAAAUAAUAGAUUAAGAUGGGACUAAAGCGAUUCAGAUAUGAUAGGAAUAACAUAAUUGAGCAUAUAUAACUACGGAGACUCAAUGGUUGCCUGAACAAGUAUACACAAAAUGUAUUUUUUUUCUUGAUUGAGGAAUAGAUAGAUAAUGCUAAUUUAUUAUGCAUGAAUGACAUACUCAUGACAUCAGCAUAAGGGUUAAUCAAUAAAAUAAUAUGGCAAGGGACUAAUCUGGCCGCUAACCUUCAGUUAAUCAGGAUGCACAUUUGCAUGCUGCACGAUAUAGCUUUCCUGGAGUAGCAAGGAUUGGGCAAUCGUACGUCAUGCAGUUGCAGCAGCUGAGAUGACUUUGUGCUUGGUAAAAGCGUGAAAUAACAGCAUGUCUAGCUUCAUGGUUGGAUUGCAUGCAGUUACUAGAUGACAACUGCCCGUACAGAGAAGCACAAAUUCAUGGAGGUGCUCACCGAACAUAGAACGAUGAUGGAGAUGGCAGCCAGCUUGGACAUCCCACAUACGUGGUGCUCCAUGGACUUGAGAGCGGAGAUCAUGCAGAGCAUCUAGGCAUGGCUGAUGGCUACGGGCAGUCUUCACUUAGAUCAAUUAGCUCCCAUGGUGAACAGAUGACAAUGAGCCAUGGAUCGAGAUCAACUCUGUACCUGCUUGGCAAAACUUCCCGGCGGCGCGGCAAGAUGGAGGUGCGGCGCAUGAUGAGAGUUAGGGCAUAGGAUGGAUGAGAAAUUAACCAAAUAGGACAUAAAGAUAUGUAUAUGUACUGUUUGUGUGGGUUUAUUAUGGCCGAGAUAUACGUGUUAACGUUUCUUCACGUACGAGUCCUGAGUUGACGUGGUGGUCGAGUCCAUCUUCAACACGUACGACAGUAGUGGUGGUUGUCCACGCGACUUCAUAUGGUAGUAUAUAUACUCCGUAUAUAUAUUUCUCAUGCUUGGGAUAAGAAUUAAGAAAAAAAAUGGGCAUGCAGCAAAGCAGGGACACGAUAGAGGGAGCGUACAAGAUAGGAGAAGGAAACAAAAAUAAAGAAACUUGCAUCUGAGUAGAAAGCUAAUUGAACCAGUUAUUUGCUUCCUGAAACAUCACGUCAAAACUUAGAUCCAAUGAAACAAGAAAACAAUAGAUAGGGCAAGUAUUAAUGGGAGAGAGAGGGUAGUACGGGCCUUCUUCUAUCCAAUAAUAAAAGAGUAAAAAAAAUGUUUGGCCAAAAGUGAUUUAGGGUCAAGAUUAAUUCGGAACAAUUUGAAAAUUAACAUUUUUCUACAACUAAAUUUGCACUAACUCAAACUAAACUUAGUAAAUUUUAUACAAAUAUCGAAAUAUUUAUUUUUGUUAAUAUUUUCUAUGCACAGCCCAAAAUCAAAAUUUUUAGGGUGUGACAUGCUCUCCACCAGCCGAAACUCUAAUUGGCCAAAGUCAAGUUCACGUACAACACAAGGAAGAAGGUGCAUGUUCUGCAGCUCAUCUAUUCAUUCAAUUAUUCCAAAAAUCCAUACCAUCUUAAUCGUGUAUCAUUUAGUUAUUCUAAGUCUAAUUUAAUCCAUUCAACCAUGUUAGAAUUUUGUAGAUUUAAUCUACGUACUAGUACCUGUAUCUUCACGUGUUGCGCUAUAUUUAUAAAUCUUAUUAAUUUAAAUGCUAGAUUGAUUAAUGUUUAUGUACAAUUACUUUUCUAAUUUAGAAGCGAACAUACUAAAUAUUUCUGAAUUUUAUAAUCUAAAAUAUACUAAACGUUGAUGUUUGUGUGCAACUGGUUUUCUAAUUUAAAAUCCCUAUAGAUUUUAUAUUUUGGUGUUUUAUAUAUAAAUAUUAAUAUGGUAAGUUACUAACAUAAUCUUAUUUCUAAAUAAUAAAUUGCUUAGCUCAAACAUGUUUCAUAUAUGAAAUUCUAAUUAGACUAAAUACUCUCACAUAUUUAUUUCUUUUGCAAUUUGCAAAGAUAAAGCUUAAUAAUUUAUUUAGUAAAUUAGGUGAUAACAUUUAUAAAAAAAUAUAUGAUUAGCAUCAACUCAGAUUUCAAGUUUAAAUAUGAUUUAUUUUGAGUUAAUGUUACUCACAUUGUUUUUCUUAAUUAAUAUAAAUCAAGCUUAUAGUUGUUUGAUUUACGGUAUAAAUUAUUUUGGCAAUUGUUCCUUUUACAUCGUAGCUUCGACCUCGAUGGUUCUUGCGUUUUUGUGACCGUGAUCAAAUUAGAGUGCUUUUCACGUCUUUGUGUCCGUAGCGAUAGAUUAGUUUUUAAACCUUUUUAUUGUUUGGUGUACUGUACUAAUUAUAGCUUUGUUUGCUUCAUGUAUGUUUGGCUCCUGUUUGCUUGUGUGUUGCUAUUCGAUGAUCGAGUUUAGACGGUGAGCAAUUCGUAAUGAACAAGAGUGCUUUAGUGAUCAAGAUCAGAGCCUUGACAACUAGUAAGACCAACAGGAUCAACAAGAGCAUUUGGAUUAAGGCAAGUAUAGCAUUUGGAUUUUAUUUCUGUGACCAUGAUCGUAUGACUAGAUUAAUGUUAAGUAAUAAACAAUAAAAAUGACUGUUUAGCAACUUAAGGAUUUAUCUGUACGUGAUCACCCGGGACAACAGUGCAACCAUGAGGGCUAUAAUGGCUCUGGCUUUAGCUCAGUAUGAAGACCUUUUCUAGCUUGUUAGCGGUUACCCGAAAGGGCGCUAGAGGGGCUGAACCGACACGGGUAUAGUGCGAGCCCCUGUCCCUAUGUGUAUAGGCUGCGCGUCAUUGUGCCAUUCGGAAGGGGGUAUCUAUAUCUGCUCGCGGUGGAAACCUCGCGGCCCUAACAUGUUAGACUAACUUUUGAAAGGCUUCAUAGUGAUCCCUGCCGACCUUCCUUGGUAGUGCGUUAAGAGGCUGAUCACCUCGGGCGAAAGGGUAAAUCAUGACUCAUGGGUAAAGAUGUACAACCUCUGUAGAGUGUUAAAACUAGUAUACUAGCCGAGCUCACGGUCAGGAGCGACCUUGGGGACAUCUACAUUAAGGGUGAUGAAUCUUGUGUGUUAAAUAUGCUCAUUGUUUAUUGUUUAAUGCUCAACAUUAUUUAUGUCGCAUUGAUCAUGAGAUUGUGGGAGCUAUACAAUCUAGUUGCUAUACUUGUGGAGUUCGACAUGGACUCACUCUUGCUAUUUCCCCACACCCCUCAGGAGAAGUUUUGGGCUUGUGAUCAACCAGUCAGUUGGAUCCUGUAGAGAGAAGUUAAUACCCGAAGUUUGGAGUUGUCUAUCCGCUGUUUGCUAUCACAGGUUAUAUCUUUUAUACUAAGUACGUUAUAUAUUUAUGCAUUGUCUUUUGAUAUUACCCUUAUUUGUAACUAUAUGUGAGACUUGGCUUCUAAAACUCACAUAUAGUGCAUAUCUGAUUUUGUCCUUAAAAUCGGGUAUUACAAAAAGACACAUAUCUAUUUUAUUUUCUAAUCAGACGAUAUCAACAACUUGAUUAAUGAUGAUUGAUUAAUAAAUAAAAGUACUUAAUGUAAAAAUUUGUUUUUCCCCAUAGAAUAUAUUGUGUUUAUUUAAAGAUAAAUUUUGAACACUGAAAUGAACUAUACUAGGUGAAUUCCCCGCGCGUUGCUGCGGGAUUUUUUUAAAAAUAAAUUAUUAUAUACAUAACAUUACUAUAUGGUAUUUAGUCUAUUAUGUAUGUAUACAUAUGAAUUGGACUUGCAUGUAUUUUAUUGUAUUAGAUUAGUAAAAAAUUGCUAAGCUAAUAAAACAAAAACUAAUAUUUGAUUACAUUAUAGAGGAAUUAAUUGGUGAUAAAACAAAUAAUGUAUGUACAUGACUUGUAUGUGAAUAUAUUAAAGAUUUAAAGUAUUUCACAUAAUAUAGAUGGCAUGGUUAUUUUUUUAUAAUUAAUAUGGAAUGACAUGGACUUAGUGGGGAAUGAUGUGGACAUCUUGCAUGAAGAGAUAAAAUAUUUAGUGGGUCACUUAGUGGGAAAUGAUGUGGCCACCUUGCAUGAAGGGAGAAUUCAUCUAAUGGGGUUUAGCUUUAUAAGAGUUAUAGAUUACAUGAUGGAGGGAGUAUUUACUACCCAACCAAAGAUCCCUCUACCGUUGUGUUUGAUAUUCCCGCGCACUACAAGUUAUCAUUGGUAUCCAAAGAUGGAGGAGACGAUAAUCUAUUUUGUCCGUACACACGCGUCAGCCUUUUGACCAAGAUAUUAUUUCUGUAUUUUUAUUUGUAUAUACGAUUAUAAGACAGCGAUAGGCAACGGAAUGAGACAUCGAAGGAACGGAAUAUAGACGAAGAUGUACUAUUAUGUAUACUAUACCUUCACACUAAAUUAGCUGAUAAUAUAAAUUCUGUAGGAGUAUAUACGCUGAUAAGUACACAGCCAAACAGACGAAGUUGACACGUCCAUGGUUGAUGACACCUUCGCACUAACGAACGACCACAUACGAACAAAUUAAUGAAUUGACUUUGAAAGAAGUAAAAGAAGCCAAAACAAUUUAUUUUUGUCGAACCAAGAAAUUUGGUCUUUGUUCCAAAUUUCAUCAAAAACUUGUUCGUUCUAGCAAACUCAAGUUAUAUCGUGCUAUAUCCUGUAAUAUAGUGAAUUUUAAAAAUUUUAAAACAUUUUUUCUAAAAAAUAAGAGAAAAUUUAAAAGACACAUGUACGUUUAUUUUAUUUCCUAAUUAGACGGUAUCAUCAACAUGAUUAAUGGUGAUUGAUAGAUAAAUGGGAAGUAUUUAAUGUAACAUUUUGUUUCUUCCAUAGAAUAUAUUGUAUUUAAAGAUAAAUUUUGAAUGCGGAAAUAAAUUAUAUAUACUAGGAGGAUUUUCUGCGCGUUGCCGCGGGUAUGAAGCAGUAAUCUAUAUGUGUGGUGUUAGUAAUGCAGGAACAUGAUAUAAUAUAUGUGUAGAUUUAUUAGUAUAAUCGUGGACAUUAUAUCUAUAGUGGCCGGUGUUUCUAGCUGAUGUUGAUAUCAUAAUUCUUGUAUCAGUGAACUUUAAUUGCAAAUAAUAGUGGAUUGCUGAGGUGGACACCUUGCAUGUCAAGAGAAAUUGCUAGUGACAAAUUAUAAUGGAUUGUUGAGGUGGACGUCUUGCAUGUUAAAAGAAAUAGCUAGUGGGAUUUUACUUUAUAAGAGUUAUAGAAGUGGAUUGAUGAGGUGGACAUCUUACAUGUCAAAAGAAAUUGCUAGUGACAAAUUAUAGUGGAUUGCUGAGGUGGAUGUCUUACAUGUUACGAGAAAUAGUUAGUGGGUUUUUGCUUUAUAAGAAUUACAGAUUACAAAAUGGAGGGAGUAUUUAGUACCCAACCAAAGAUCCCUCCACCGUUGUGUUUGAUAUUCCCGCGCACUACAAGUUAUCAUUGGUAUCCAAAGAUGGAGGAGACGAUAAUCUAUUUUGUCCGUACAUACAUCAGCCUUUGGCCAAGAUAUUAUUUCUGUAUUUUUGUUUGUAUAUAUACGCUUAUAAUGUGGCUCGCGAUUUUGUCGAGUCUACGUUUCUUAAUGACAGGCCAUGAGGCCCAAAGUGAACUCAAAAAGACAGCGAUAGGCAACGGAAUGAGACAUCGAAGGAACGGAAUAUAGAUGAAGAUGUACUAUUAUGUAUACUAGUACACCUUCACACUUAAUUAGCUGAUAACAAAAUUCUGUAGGAGUAUAUACGCUGAUAAGUACAGCCAAACAGACGAAGUUGACACGUCCAUGGUUGAUGACACCUUCGCACUAACGAACGACCACAUACGAACAAAUAAAUUAAUGAAUUGAUUUUGAAAGAAGUAAAAGAAGCCAAAACAAUUUAUUUUUGUCGAACCAAGAAAUUUGGUCUUUAAACUUGUUCGUUCUAGCGAACUCACGUUUCUAUAGCAAUGAUAAAACUUUUGAACUUACACAAUGCAGGGAAAACCUAAAGGCAAAGUGAAAGCAAAAACAGUCCUUAACAUAGUGAAAGGUUGACAUUGGAAGAUUUGAUGCGGGUCCGAAGUUCCAAAGAUUGUAAGUCGAAGUCGGAAAAAAUAACUCGACCUAUGGGGGUAAGACAGCCCCGGGUAUUGUGUUUAAGAAAAAAAAAAUUAAGUCGAGAAAAUCCCUAAACCUCUACCUUACCCAUACACAAUGGUAUCACAGCUCCUAUGACGCUGGCUGAUCUUAGACCUGUACUUUAACAUAGAGCAGACGAGAAGAUUUUGUCAACAUGCAGAUAAACUAACGCCUCCUCCCAUCAACAAAUCCGCCUUCCAAAGAGUUCGAACUGUGGCCGGUAGGAUGCAAAGCGCACCGUCCAAGCAACUGGUCUAGCGUAUAUCAGAAGUAGGUCGUAAAUUCCAAACAAGACUGCUUCAAAUCAACUCUAAAAAAUUUGAAAUUUUGUACAAACCUUGAAUAAACCAUUUAUAAAAGAUAACCCCCAAGAGAUCAAUACUACCACGUAAAGCAUUUUGCAUGCGGCCACAUUUGUUUUCCACAUACGCCCAGCAAAGUCUGCCUCCAAGUCUAAGCAUCAAUGAUUCUGAUUUUUUUUUUUUUUUGAAGAUGCUUGUCUGUGAAAAUAGGUUUAGAAAAUAAAAAAAGGGCCUAGGCCCGGCGUCGAACUCGCUUCCGGAAGCGUCGCCACCGCUGCCCAUCCACUCUAAACACGCGGCUGUCGUCACCGAGGCCGCUCGCAGCCAGGUAGCCACCCCACUGUCGCCGGAUCUUGCUGUGGAUCCCUCCACCGCCGGAUCAAGCCAUGGAUCUCUCCAUUGUGCCGCCGUGAGGCCGUGUCACUGCGCACUCCUGCGUUGCGCCACGCCGUUGCGAGGCUCCUGGGUGCCAAUCUAGAUAACCCGGGUUGUCAUCCACUCGAUCGACCUGUCUUAAUAUAAACCAAAUACUGAGGACCCACAGGAAAGUAUCAUCUGCACCUCGUCUUAAAGACCUUUUACAGUUGAGUUACACCAACGAGCCAAUCAUCAAGCGACUUACAACACAAUCUUAUAGUGAACAAAAAAAUUUCAAACUAAAACAUCAUUGACCAUAAAAGAAAUUAACCUGCAAGAAGACAUCGGACGAGUUGGAGAUGAGCUCACUUGAUUGGAUUGGGAGAGCGUGUGAGAGUGAUUAGAGAUAGAGAGCUUUGAUGAGUGAUCCAACUGUGGAUUAGUAUCAUACUAGUUUUUAUCUAGACAUGUGAGGGUGUUAGGUCCUAGGGUUAAGGUUAAACAUUUUAAACUUCAAAAUAUUCAUCAGAUGCUCCAUCAAUUAUGAUGGACUCUCCUUCAAAAAUAUUCCCAAAGCUAGCAAGUUUGGGUUCGGCUAUAAGAGAAUUGAUGGAUGAUCCGAUAAACUUGUCGGACGAUCCAAAAAAAUGGACGAUAUGUGGUUCUAGGAACAUGCCACAGAACGAUCGGUGGGUGAGCUGUGUUUCACAGACACUCCGCGGAAUCGACAUUUGCUCCAUGGUGAACUAGGUGCUACCGAGUUCUCUGGAAACCAAUUUUAGUUAUUGACGCGCAGUCCAUGGAUCCUCAUGAAUGUUCCAUGAACAGUGAAGACUAAGUGUUUGGCUGUGAUUUCUGGCCAAGCGUUGUGGUUGACGUAUGAUCUGUAAGAUGUGAUGGAUGCUUCAUUAGUGCAUUCACACAAGUUAUGUGUUUUAUCAUUCAUGGUGUUUAUGUGUGAUUUAAGUCUAGAUCAUUGGUGAUGUUCAUCAUGUAUGUGCAAGGGGUUAGGGUUGUUUAGGUGACAUGUUGGGCUACUGAUUGCUAGGGUUGAGCUCUAGUUACCAUGUGCAUCAUAGUGAUCUGUGGAUCAAAUUAAUCAUGAGAAAAGAGAAAUUAAAUCAUGAGAAUGGGCAUGGCAAUAUAUCUUUAAGAAUUUGAUGACCUCUAGGCCACCAAGAUCAGAUAUGGGGUCUUGCUCAACCUUGCUUCCAAGAAAAAGAGAUGGAUUGGGGAAUUCAUGAGAUUUCUUGCAAAAAUCCACAAAAUUGCAUUGGGGAGAAACUUGAGAGAUCCCUGAGAGGAUUGAGCUAGAGAUGAUCUUAGCUUACACUUGAGAUGAUGGAGCAACUUCCAAACUUCACAUAUUGCAUCCAUGCAUGAAAAAAAUCAUGCAUGGAUGUAAUGUGAAGUUUGGAAGUUGCUCCAUCAUCUCAAGUGUAAGCUAAGAUCAUCUCGAGAGAGGAUUUCAAGAAAAAUGAGAGAAAGGCUUUUGAUUUCACCAUAGAUUGAGGUUGAGAUGGAGAAGCUGAUGAGAUUUGUGAUCAAUGCUGACCUUUGCUUCUUAUCCUUCCUUUAUUUCCCUUCUCUUCAUCUUUCUCACUUUCUCUCUCUAGUUCUUGCCUUGUUCUUCAUGUGUUGAGAGAGGGGGAUAGGGAAUGGGUAAGAGAGUAAGCGGGAUGGGGCAUGUUUGCUGAAGGCCUUUCCCAACUCGUGCUGACAAGUGGGUCCACUUGUGAGAGAAUGGAGGACAGCUCAUUCCCAACUUGAUUCUACUAAAGUCAAGUUUUGAUGAAUGAUCUGUCUAUUCAGAUAGGCACUCUGUCAAUAUGCUAAUUAUGAGAAAUUGAUUUAGAGAAAUGGUUCUUAGAAUUUAGAAUUAGGGCCAUUCUUCUUGUCCUAGGUGUUGAUAACCACUUAGGGAGAGACUAGAUAAGUCAACUAUACCCUUCCUCCACUAUCUUCUUGAAGUUGACCGUUAGUUGGUCAUCGAUGACUCUAGGUUGACUCUGGCUUAAGAGGAUCGAUAAGGUUGGUUAGCAAAUUUGGAGUCCUUAUCCUAGUUAAGAGCACUAGGAAUCCUUCAAGAGAAUAGCAAGUUGAUUCUUGGAAGUUUGAGGGCUUAUGCAAGGUGAUCAAAGAGGUUCUUAAGAAGGGUUUUAGUUGGAAUGACUUCUGGUCAUGACAAUUGCUGCCUUCAAUUCGCUCAAGAUCCAUGGUGGAAAAGAUUUCCAAACCCUAAGUCAUUUUGGGCCUGGUGGAGGCACGUCGUGAGAGAUGAGAGCGGGGAGGAGUUCCAAACCCUAACUCUAUCUUAUAUAUGUCACAAUCAUAUUGAGCUCGAUGGCUCCGAGCAUGUUUCUAGAGGUGGGCCGCCCACCUUUGUAAACGAAUUACAGAGAUAGAUGUUUUUGGACUGCCUCCUUAAGUAGAGCUACCACCACCGAAAAUUAGGAUCUUUUUGGGAGGCACUAAGAAUUUCUAACCACCUCCAUUAAUAAAAUCCCUUAUCUCCUAAAAUAUUUUAUGUAGUAGUGCAAGUCUAAAAGAUAAAAGCUUGAACAGAAAAUUCAAAAUCCUUAGUCUCAAAUUGGAGUUUUGUCAAUUUUCCUCCAAAUGGGGAUUUCUAUGUGCUCGUGGGAAAUCUGCCUAAGGCAGCUAUGUUUAUUCGUGAGCCCCUAUAGCACCUAAAGAUCAUUCAACGAUGUCCCAAAUACCUGAGCACAAAUAACUUCGAGAAAAUAACCUCAAGAAAUGGUAUUUUUAGAAGCAAAUUAGCUCGCCAACUGCCUCUAAGAGCAACUCCAACACUACCCUAAACUUCACUUGGCAAAUCUUGGAUUUUGCCAAGUGUAAAGCUCAAAUGCCAAGUGAAAAAAAGAGGCUUCUCCAACAGUUAGCUAUUUUUUUGGCAAAUUUGGACUAUCUUGUGAUUCCUGAAAAAAUCAGAGGGACUUUUAUGCAAAAGUUGCAAUCUAUUUAAGGCAUGCGUGCAUGCUGAAUGUGUGGGUCCCACCGCGUAGGCAGGAUGCCAAGCGCUCCCAACGCUCCUAAAUUUGAGCCAGUUGGCCCUCUUUUUGCCAAGCAUCCUAUUUUGUCAAGUGCAUAUAGGGUAGUGUUGGAGGAGCUUUUUCCAUGUUUUGCCAAAAAUUAGGAUUUGCCAAGUGCAUAUAGGGUAGAGUUGGAGUUGCUCUAAUAAAAUAGCAUACAUUUCUAGAGGCGGCUGGAGUUGUCUCUAAAAAAUUGAUUUUUAGAGACGAGUUGACUCAAAAACAAUUUUUAAAGACAGAUUUUUAUAAAGUAGCCUCUACCCAAAAAUUGAGACGUCUCUAAAAAUGGACUAUGACUGUAGACCUGUAGCUGGAGCAGGCUUGGUAUUUGUAGUUUAGAAGUUGCAGCGGCAGCGAGAGUUGGUGUGGCUUGUACCAUACUCCUAUUAAGUAAAGGAAAAUUGAUAGUAGUAUACAGCCUAAUGAGACAUAGACCAAUCUAUUUCAUUUUUGUACUCAUUAGAUAAUCGUUUAAUCAUUUCGCAAAAAGAAAAAAAUGGAUAGACACACUUAAUAAUACACAGAGUGAUGAAACAAUAUAACAUAAGCACAGGAUAAAAUAUGAGUACAUUUAUUGUCCUUAGCACAGACUGAUACACUAUAAUUAUAAUCACUCUCUCCGGUACAAAUUAAGCAGCAACAGGGACACAGUUCACAUCACAAAUCAUCUGAUUAAUUUGGUAUAAGAUUAUUGUAAGGUUUGGCCAUGAUCCAAAGCAUGGACUUCUUUCUUAACGUUAUCCCAAAGAUCUCUGCCAUAUCAAAUUCUUCCAACUUGACGCCAUCAGGUAGAGUCCAAUCAAAAUGGUAAAGAAGGCUAACAAGAGCCAGCUCUAGAUUGGCCAAACCAAGCGUUAUGCCAGGGCAUAUUCUCCUACCUGACCCAAAGGGAGUGAACUCGAAGUCAUUACCUCUAAAAUCGACACUACUAUUUUCAAAUCUUUCUGGCCUAAAUUCCUCUGCAUCAUGCCACAAUUUUUUGUCCCUUGCUAUUGCCCAAGCAUUCACGAACACCUUGGUUCCCUUUGGAACAUCGUAACCCAUAACCUGACAUGAUUCACGACCUUCUCGAGGGAGCAACAGUGGUACUGGAGCAUGCAACCGUAAAGUCUCCUUGAUCACCAGCUGUAGGUAUCUCAAUUUGAUCAAAUCACCUUCAGUUAUCUUGUCUUGUCCUUUGAAGGCCUCCCUCACCUCUGAUUGGGCCUUAUGCAUGACUUGUGGAUUCCUAACAAGCUCUGACAUUGCCCAUACUAGAACAGUUGAUGAUGUUUCACUCCCAGCAGAGAAAAUAUCCUACAAUACAAUGUUAUAGUUACAAUUUGUAAAAGGGGACAUUCACAUUUUAAUUCUCAUGAGAAUGUAAUCAGUAAACAUAAGAAUGUAAAAAAAGAAUGUAGGUCAUAAAUUAUAUUCUUGUUCACAUUUUUAUUGAGUGCCAAUCGUGCAGAAUUAAUUAAAUUCUUUUUUAUCAUUUUAGUAAAUAAGAAUUCAAUUUAUAACCUAAAUUCUUAUUUUAUAAAAUACAAAAGAGUUCUAACUAAAAUGAAAUAAGUACAUAUAAGAUUUUCAACUUAACUUGAGGAUUAAGAAACUACAUCAACUAACAAAAUCAAAAUUUAAAAUCAAGAUCAAAUAUGUCAGGUGACAUGGCUAGCAAUAAGAGAUACCAUAACUUAAGCUAUGGUUUUAACUAAAUGUGUAUUGAAGACAAAUGGACGUGCCACGCACAGAGAAAGAGAAAUUAUAAAUAUGGAUAAAAAAUAUAAGGAAUAAUUGAUAAGUUGAUCUCACCGGUAAAGAAAGAAAUAUCUAUAUUGUGUCAAAAAAAAGAAUAAAAAUAAUAGCACAAGGAUAAUUAAUUUGUUUAGUUGUAGGUACUAAACAUGGACUACGAUACCAAAACUUAUUUAGUGUAAUAAAAUUCCAUUUGCCUAAUGCUAAACUAGAAAUAAAUUAGAGACCAUUAAUAAUGGAGAGGUUUUGUAGGAGUGUGGUGUUAGAUAACUAGAAGAUAUCUCGCGCAUUGCUACGAGAAUCGCAAAGAACUUGCUUGGAAUGAAAUUAAAAGAAGAUAAUGUGAAUAGCUUGCAACUAAGGGUCCAUUUGGUAGGAUUUCUCCACCGGCUUCAGUUUGUUUGAAGCCAUUUUCUGCCACACGGUAUAAAAUAAAACGGCUUUGCUAGUGAAACUCCUUAAAACCAGCUUUAUAAGAGCGGAUCUCACCCAAAUAACCGUGCUGACAAUCUCGUUGGUGAGAGCGAACUGCAGGCCACCAUCCCUCUGCAGCCUCAGGAGAACACCCAGAAGGUCCUCCUCGUCUCGCUCUGGCGCCGUCGCCAUGGCUUCAGCUUCACGCUCAUGAAUGAUGCUCCGGAUGAUCCGGUACAUGUUCCUCUGGCACCUCCUCGCGUCCCUCGCGGCGGCGCUGAACCGGCGUACCAGCUGCGAGGACGGGUACAGGUCCGCCAGGUUGAACCCACCAAACAGCCGCACCACUUCGUCUAGCUCAUGCAUGUACUCAUCCCGGUACUUGCACCGGUCGCCGACGACCGUGCGCGCGGCGACGUCGUUUACCAUGCGGCAGAUCCCGUCGCUGAGGUUGACGGGCCGCUGGCCGUCGGCAGACUCCCUGGAGACGGAGCGGAGGAGGUUCGCCACCUCCUCUUCCCGGAUGUUCCGGAACGUGAGCACGCGGCGCUGGCUGAAGAGCUCCACCAUACACAGCUUCCGGAGCUCCCGCCAGUGGGCGUUGUAGGCGGAGAAGAUGAUGUCCUUGCCGCCGCAGCUAAUGAUCUCCAUGGUGACGCUCAGGUUGCGGUCGCAGAAGGUGAGGUCGUGCGUCCUCAUCACCUCCCUGGCGGCCUCGGCGGAGGAGACCACCAGCGUGGGCACGGCGCCGAAGCGGAGCAUCAUGAGGGGCCCGUAGGUUCCGGACAUCUCGCGCAGCGCCCGGUGAGGCAGGUCGCUGAAGCGCGACAGGAGGAGGUGGUGCAGGCUGCCGAUGAGCGGCAGCUGCCAUGGCCCUGGUGGCAGGCGAAGCGCUGGUGAUGGCUUCGUGCGUGAGGACGUGACGUAGCUCCGGAUGAGCCUGAGGAGGAGGAGGGCGAGGAGGACGACGAAGGCUAGAAACUGGAUUCUCAUCAUGUCCAUAUUUUUGCCGGGGAUGGGACAAGUUUGCAGCCAACUGCGUCUCGACAACAUCGAUGACACGUAUUUAUACUAGGGGCUUGCUACCUGAAUUCUAGUUAUAUAUAUUUAUAAUACUAAUAAAAGUGUCCUUGCAACAAGUAAAAAGGUAUAAUGUUAUCCAUAGUUUUUUAUCUUGAAAAUAAUAAUUUUUCAUUUACAUCAUUAUAUUUUUAUUGCACUCAACAUGAUGCUAAAAAAGCAUAUCAUCACACUAUAAAAAAACAAGUUUUUAGGGUUUCUUCCUCUAUAAUAACCGUUCGAUUUGUACGCCGUGCUAUAUGAGUCCUACGUCAUGUAUGAUCUUACUUUUUUGUAUAACAACCGUUCGAUCUAGAUGUCAUGCUAUAUGAGCCCUCCAUCAUCUAUGAUCUUACAUGUAAGAUUUAAGACCCAUAUUCAAUCUCACAGUAAUGCUACCCAUCAUAAGUCAUAUCCUUCUCUCUUGUGUACUGUCGACUCCCUGAUUUUGACUCGACAUAUUUUUCUUCUAUUUAGUAAUCAAUUGCUUCUUCAUCGUGUAACUUUUGCUAAAGUCGAGACCAAUAGCACACAAUUAAUCAAUAGGAGUACAAACCAAUAACGGUAAAAUUAUUAAGAUAGAAUCAUACUCAUGUAUUCUAACGGAAAAAAUAAUAACUUGAUAGUCACUUGCCCUCCAUAUACAAUGGUCAUUUGCACCGACACGGAAGCUAGCAUUGCUUGAUUUGGCUAGUGUUGAUAUACGAGGCGGACACACAUGGCUACCUUUGCGUGCAUCUUCUUGGCUUCGACAUACUGGUCGUGUGUUUUUUUCUUUUGCUAUUUUCUAGCUAUUUAACAAUUAGUUGUUACUAUCAGCGUAAUUUGUGUAAUUUUUUAUUUGUUUUUCUGAAUUUUAUAUAUUAGUUAUUUAAAAGGAAUGAUUUUAAAUAAAGUUUAUAUUUUAUAAUAAAAGACGUUUCUUCUUUACAUACCGUUUUCAAAUUAUGGCCUGCUUUUUGAUUUUUGGCCUUUUUCUUCUUAUAGCUGUUGCAUGCCCAAUUGCCCAUGGUAAAUCCCAGCGUGUUGCCUGUUGGUUAUGCAAAGUUGUAGGUAGGCUACGCGUUGUCCUUUUCCCAAUUUGAUUUUUUUUACCGUUCGGAGCACGGUUCAGAGGUGUAGAUAGAUAGAGAUAAUUUCCAAACUGAAGAGGGUCGACUUUAAAAACCAUAAUUCGAGUAGAGAUUGGAGUUGAAGGAAAAAUAUUACGGAUCGAAGCCUAUACGGACUGGAUAGGCGAAAAAAAGAUGUCUGCUGGACUGAAAUUUUCAUAAUUAUAUAUUAGAAGAAAGAUUGUAGAUUUCGUUCAUUUUAAUUUUCUAGACAUAAUUUAUAAUUUUCGGUACCGAGAAUAAAAAUUUGUUAGACAAAAUUAUAAAUCUGACAAAUGUAUUUGAUCAAAGUUAAUAUUGUUUGACUCCUGAUAAAUGAGAAUAAGCAUUCUUUUAGGCACGGACAAAGAAAUUUAUCCACAAACAUGCGUGAAGAUGUGCUGUACAUACUAUGUACCCGUACUCCGUGAUGUACAAAACUAGGACCAGCAGAGGCUAAUUGUCUCUAUAGCAGCAGGCUACAAUAAUUUGUCUCCGUGGUCCAAAACGUGGGAAGCCUGUUAAGUGGUUGUUUGGUUCACAUAUUUGUUCACUUGUCUAAGUUGUAUUUUUUCUAACAGCCAACAGUGUUUUUCUUUCAUAAUAAAUCAGCGAAGAAUAUUUUCAACUAUAACUUUUCAGAUCAGCGAACAUGCUAGUCUCAUUUACUUUCAUUUAGUCAUUUUUUAUCUAAACACUAUAACUAAAUGAGGUUAAAUGGACUUUAGUCAUCUCUAGCAAUUCUGGAAUAACUAAAUAAGACUAAACUAUUUAGAAGGGACUAAAGUUUAGCAGCCCGAAAAACACCCGUGAUGUCCAUCCAUCCAUUAUAUAAGUUGUUGCUAGGCAGCUAGGGUCUUAGUAUUUUCGUUUUAUUUUAGUAAUUAGUAUCUAAUUAUGGAAUCUCUAGAUUUAAAAGAUCCAUCUCAUAAUUUAUAGAUAACUUGUACAAUUAGUUUUUUUAUCUAUAUCUAAUGUUGUAUGCAUGUGUCCAAGAUUUGAUGUGAUAGAUGAAAAGUUUUUAGGUGAAACUAAACAAGGCCCAGGUAUAACUAGGGACGGGAUAGAUAUGCAGCCAACUACGUGACGACAAAAUCUCGAGGAGCUGACACAGAUAUAUGGACUAGAUAGAUUUUAAUAAUAUAAUAGUACGUAUCAAUAAUGUAGGAAAUAAUGGUAUACUAUACUAGUUCAUAGGAUUCAACUGAAUAUUUUUGACAACAACGUCGUAUUGUGUUUGAUACUUCCACGCAACUACAGGUUAUUAGUGGCGUCGGUCCACGAAUGUGUACGUGCACGCCGCCUUUCGUUCAAGAUAUACUAUAUGUUAAUUCUGUAUUUGUUUGUAUAUAUAUAUACGCUUAAUUAUAAGACAGCGAUAGGCAACGGAAUAUAUAUAUACACACACGAAGAAAAAUCGCUGGAGUAAAGAUAGAAGCUUGUGUAGAUAUUCUCGCUAUGGAGUAGUAGUUCCAAUCAUAUAUAUAUUGUGCCGCUGUGAGAAGUAGCCAAUCACCAAACAGGAGUGCUCAGCUCACUGAUGGCACGUCGUCUAUCCGUAGAGGCGUAGACGGGUGCAUGAGUGCAAAUGGACAUGCAUGGUUUCGAGGACUUCCCAACACACCCACAGGGCCACAGCCCACAGGUGAUGUUUGUCUCCAUGUUUCCCUCCUAUUUCCGCUGCUAUUAAUUCUCGUUGCUACGUGUUUGUUUCAGCAGCAGCGGAGCCAUUCGCACAAGGGUCGAAUCCGGAUACCGGAAACGUCGUUACCGCCCACUCCAGGCCUUAUCGGUUUAGGGCAUGUACAAUCUAGAUAGGGUCCGUCUCUAAGACCAGUCGCAAUGUAUAGUUUCAUGGUAGUUACCAAGACUAUAAACUAGGUAACCGAGUCAUAUGAGUUUUAUGAGGAUGAAAACUCCUCUCUCAUCUGAUGAGACUGCUUCAUUUAAUGACCCUGUCAAGUCAGCAAUUUUGCUUAUGUGGCACCUUAUUUAAUGUGCAUGAUACUCUCAUGAAACAUGCAUUGAGAUUGACCUAAGUAUCUCGAAUCUAUGAUACAGACAGAUAUAAAGACAGAUUAUACAAUCCAUACUUGGGGGUUCUAAGGCAUUUAAUAAUUUGCAUGUAGCUAAGAUCAACUAUGGAUAUCAACUUGUAUACCACUGUGUGGCCGUUUGAUAGAAGACAAGUUCAAGUAUAAAUAAGAUGAACAUAAUUAUAAUAUUUUAAAACCACUAAUAUAAUAUAUAUUAUAUAUAAAGAUGAACAUAAUUACAUAAGCACACUCAAAGAGGUCAGUCCACCUAAUAAUCUUGUGCCAUGGAUCCUUGCAUUGCUUUAGAUUCCUUUUCCUACGGGGUGGAGCUGUCUUGUUGUAUGAUUGAACAACAUCAGACCAAUAUUGGUUGCCACCUAUAUUAGCUCCACAGGUCGAAACUGUUGAAUGUUCUAUCCAAGAGCUCAUGCAUCAAGCUGACAUCCUCAUUCUUUUUCCAAGGAAUUUGCUUCUCAGUCCUAGCAUUUUCAUCAUCAGUGUCAACUAGUUCAGGCUACUGCUUGUCCACUCUCUCUACUUCUACUGGUAAAAUUUCUUCAUGGUUGUGAACAGGUGCACCAACCUAAAAAUUGUGUGGCUGGUUUCCAAAGUAACUCAUAAACCCACCAGGUGGGCAUGGGUCGUCUUUAUCCCUGCAGGAAACAUAACAUCACUAAAAUGACUCUAUACAACAUUACUUUAAUUUGCACUAUCUGCUUCUCAUUCACACUAACAAAUAUCAAAUAGUUUAUAAGAAACAGAGCAUUAGUUUCAUUCUCAAACAUUUGCAACAAACAUCAUAGACCUUCAAAAGGAUCUAUGACACUACAUGCAGGGAAUAAAAUAUGUCAUUUGUCAACCAUGAUGAUCUGACCAGGAUGAACACACAUGCAGCCCAUAGCCACCCUCCUGCUAUUCUUCCCCAAAUAAGAUGAAACAAAUUGCAAUAUAUACAACUUAGCACAUUCAGCAGCUACCAAAGCUCUGUUCACAUUCAGAUACAGCUAGCAAGUUCACGCAGGUUCACAUUCAGAUAAUAACUAGCAAAGCUCUAUUCACUAACAGAUAAGAUAGAAUUUCACUAACAGAUAGGAGCAAGUCCAGAUCAAUUCACAGGUCAGGUGAUUAACAAGAUGGAUCCCAAGCUGCUGAGCGCACAAACGAAGGAGAAGCUGGAUCAACGUUGGUCGAAUUCCACCAAGCAGUAGAUGGUGAAGUGGGGAAUGGAAACCCACCGAAGACGAUGGAACCGUCGCAGCACUGGGGAAGGCACCUCCACUAGAUGUACCAAUGGAGAUAGGAGGUGUUGCCAUGCUGUUGCUGAGGGAACAGGAGAUGGGGGUACCCCGGUGCCACCACCGCUGAUCCACUUCCGCGACCUAGGGUUCAGCCCAGGGCAUCCGCGCCCAACGAUGAGCCUCCACCACGACUGAGGUUGUAGUUCGACGCCGUCGAGAUGGCUCCGCGACCGAAGGUGUGCACCGGGAACACCGCUAUCGCUGUCGCCGCAGUUGACGCAACAAUGGGGGUGUCCUUGCUCUUCUUGUUUGUGGAAGCUAGUUUGCACUUCCUCGCUGAGGUGCUAAACAUCGCAGCCACCAAAGGUUGGGGUGCCCGAUUGAGAAAGAAAGCUAGAGUGUUGUGGCUGCUUCACCGGUGAAAUAGGGAUGAGGCAGAGACGGAUUUGGCGGGACUGCUCCCUCCCAUGCGCGCCAAAACUUCAUUAGCAUGCACGCGAGUGCCCCAGAUCCGCGCGCCGUCGAGACAAGGGGACGACUCCUACAAUGCUGCUCGGCUGGUCUCCUUUGCAUCGGUGCAUGGGACGGCUCCGUCGCUUCACGAGACGACGGAAUAGUCGUCUUCAGGCCACAACGGCACAACAGAUUUUUUUUGUAAAAGUACCCACGAAAGGACGGGGUGAAGAGUUUUUAUAAAAGUACCCACGAAAGGACGGGGUGAAGAGCCCCGUUGUACAUACCCUUAUUACGCAACUCACGUGAGAAUGGAUAAAGGAUAUCUUAGGUUGGAUCCUAUGAACUAAUAAGUAUAAUUGAAAGUUUAGUCUUUAAAGAUCUAAACAAAUGAACUAGUUAGUGAGCUAACAACUAGCGAAAGCCUCAACUAAUUGUUACUUCACUAGCAUAUAGAGCCCAACUAGUUGGGCUAAUCACUAAUUCUAGUUCAUCCAAACAGCUCCUUAACCAACCAAACAAAUUGUCGUUUUUCAUUUCAGGCAACAGGUAGGGGCGGCACCCAUUUUCAUUUGCAGUACAGCCCCGAACUAAACAGAGAAAGAGAGACACACAUUUGGCGGCCAAAAAAUCUGGGUUUUGAUCUAUCAUUUUGCAUAAUAAAACUAAACAUCAUGCAAAAAUUUUUAGCAAAAAAAAUUAUUCUUCAUUUUGGAUUUUGGUCUCAGGAGGCCAAAAGCCCAAAAGAGUUACAAGAGACCAUAAUAAGAGCAAUAAAUUCUGUAUUCUAGACAAAACUAAAUAUAACCUUAAAAAUGUUAGUAUUUAGUAUUUUAUCAUUUCAAGGUAGUCGGCAUUUUGCAUUUUGCAUUUUAUGGGAAAUUAAACACCCCCUAGCACAACCAAAUCGUCAACUCCCAACACUGCAGGCUUGAUGGAGCAUCAUUACCACGCUUCGGUUGAAGCUAAGAGCUGCAAAGCAUUUGCCAGUGCCAUUACCACCACCAUUUCAUGUUGCAUGGCUUGACCGGUCGUAAGAGUCCCAUGCACGUCGCAACUCGCACAGGCAUUGCUCUUGCUCGCGGUGCCAUGAUUGCGCCUUUCACAAACUCAUAGUUGAUCAAUUGGAGCACUUGCGAUUAUUGAAUCAUUAUUGUACUACCAUUUAGUAUGAGAUUUGAAAUUUACUUAAUUUAAUUGGAUAAAUAACAGGCCAUAUCUAAUUAAUUAAGUCCAAGAGCUAACAAUUCCAGGCUGUAAUUAAUUGUGCGAGAUGAUGUGUUCCUAGUCCACGAUGACCUUGAGAAGGACAUUGAGGAAGACGAAGGCUGCAAACGAGAUCCUAGUUUCCAUAUCUGCCAGGGAUGGGAUUUCGGUGAGCUAGCUUAAAUAUAGAGUAUUAUGGCAUCUAGAAAUUAACAAUAAUACAGCAAUGCUUUACAGCACUCAAGUGUUUUACAGCAAUUCAACACUCAAUUCCUUUCUGUUCUCUUCCUCUCCCUCUCUUCUUCUCUAACUCUGGCAAGCUUAGAUGAGACUGUGGGAGGCAGGUCGGCCAAAUGGUGGAAACGGCAGGAGGACGACGGUUAGAGUUCCAGCGGUGUAGGAGGCGGUCGAACUAGGUCAGGGCGAGGGCAUCUAUGGCCAUACGACGGUGAGGGGAGGAGAAGAAGAAGGUUGUUGUGGGCGUAAUAGGGUCUCAUCGGAGCUCAAGACCCUACUGCACUGAGGCGGGGCAGUGGACGACGGUAGGGCAUCGGGAGGAGGAAGAGGACGAUGAAGAAAAAAUCAAGUGUUCUCGAGAGCCAAAACACUCAAGCGACAGAUGAUAGAUCCUAAUAUAGAAAUGCAACAAUGUAUCCAAAGUAUGGAGGCACUGCUGUGUUUGUUAUUCCCAUCCUAGAGGUAAUCUUUGGUGUCCACAGGGAGAUAUUUAUUUUGUUCGUGCCUCUCGAGCCUCACCAUAUCAAUUCUAAUUAUGUUUCCGUCUAAUGCUCCGUAUAUAUAAUACGCUAAUAAGAUAGUGAAAUAGACGAAACUGAUCGACACAUUAGGUUUUUUUUACAACAAAUAUUUUUCAUUUGAGCAGCAGGACGCUGCAAUCAGUCUAACAGACUGAAGGUUUACAUCUAUCAGAUGCAUCAGGAAUGGGCACUGAUAGGUAAGGCUCUGAUGAGAGCAUACAUGAUGGAAGAAAGAUUCAACAGGAACAAUAACUGAGAAAGCCUGUCUAUCUAAAGCAUAUGUUGUAUUAUUUAUGUUCCUAUUGAUUUUGAAGAUCAUGGCAUGACAUUGAUCACCUGUGUUCCUGAACAUCUGGGUGAAAAAGGUUUUAUCCUCCAGUCUACAGGAUGUUCUUGGUCAUCUUCAUGUAGGAAUUGUACUAGCUGCUGGUUAUUAGUGAGAAAGGUGGUGUCAGUGAAGUUGAGUCGUUCACUAACAACUGCUGCUAGAGCAAGUGCUACAACUUCCGCCAUGAGGACUGAGUGGACUUCCAAGGCUUGUGCUGUGAUGUAGAUGGUUUGUGUGGUUGUACCUAUGGAUUGACAAAAAAUCCCAAGUCCUAUAGCUAUAUACUGCCUGGUUGGUUGGUCAUACCUUAAGGAGGCAUCAAUGAAGCAUCUGACUCCUUGGAUGAGCUCCAAUAUAGAGAUGAAGUAUUUGUCUGUCUAAGGUGAAGCUCUUGCAUUAGAUGUGAUAAUACCUGGUGAAGUCGGGGUGGCUUGAUUUGUGAGCAUCAUUUUCUAGGGGGUUUGUGCUUGUUGUUCCUCCAUAGGGUGUGAGGUGCAGGUUCCUCCUGUUGGUGCUGCAUGUGAUCAGGUGCAGGCGUCUCCAUCUGUUGAGGUGUGUGGCUGUGAUCCUACGAAGUAAUAGCAAUGGCAGUUUGCGUACCUUGUGCAGUCAUUUGUGGGGGUUGAGGUGGGAUAAGUAGAGUGUCGGUUUGGUGGCUGCUAAUGUGGGCUACGACCACAUGGUGUACCUGCCAUGGAGUCCAAGUUUUUCUGUGAAAUCAAAUAUCAUUCCUAGCUUUCCACAAAUACCAGAAAGUGAUUAGUAAUUUGUUGAAUACAGUAGAUGGGAUGGCGGCGGGGAUGAAGCUUGGUAGGAUUAGUUGCACGCCAUUAGUAUCUUGAGGUAAAUUGUCAGUGCAAAGAAGGGGAUUUGAUGAGAAUACUGUUGUGGGAGGUGAUAGUGGAAGAAUAGGUGGGCAUCAUCCUCCACCACGCCAUAGGAACAUAGUGCUUGUCUAUGUGGGGGAGUAUCUCGCUGCUUGUUUUGUUGUAGCUAGGGCUCUUUUGAUGAGUCUCCAAGUGAAGGAUUUAACUAGAGAUGGUGGCUCCUUACUAUUCCAUUCUCUCUGCAUAAUGGAGUUAGCAUGGGGUCCACCUCAAGAUGUCAUGACCAUCACUAUGAAUAGUUGGUGUUACAGUUAUGACCUGUACAUCCUAAGCAUCAAAGAUGUUAGUGAUGAGGUGAACAUUCGUGUUAUGGGAAUUUGGUUGCUAAAGAUUAGAGAAAUGGUUGGCAUUGGAGAUUGAGUAGCUAGCAGGAUCAUGUGGUCAUGGAUAGAGUUCCGAAUGGGCACCAAGGGGUGGACCAUAUAGAACUGUUACUUGAAUGGAUCUAGUAGACAGAGUUGGAGCGAAGUUUAGUUUUGACCUACAAAAUAGAAGACCAGAAGAUUGAUCUAGGACCAGUGGUGUUGGCUUUCCAAAAGGAGGUGUUGUGGAACUAUUUAGCCUUAAGGACAGAGGUGAGCAUGGGGUUUUUAUUAGUAGCAAUGUUUGCCAAGACCCCCAUUCUUCUUGGGCUAGCAAAUGUCUUCCCAAGACAUGAACGCAAUGGGAGAUGUAGGGUUGUCUUUCUAGACUCUAGUGCACCAAAAUUUCCUGAUUAUAGUGUUGAUUUUACCUAUCAUAGUAUUAGAAAAUAGCACAGUACACAUGUAGUAUACAGGGACCAAAGCUAGGACAGAUUUGAUGUAAGUCAGUCUCCCUGCAUGAUUAAGCUUGUUAGCUUUCACAGUAGUUAACUUAGCUCUAAAUUUUUUAAGAAUAAACUCAUAAACCUUAUUCCGAUCAUUACGAUUAAAAUAAUCAGGUGGCCCAAGGUGCAUGCUAUUAGGAAGGAGGUCAGGGGUAGGAAAGAUGUUCCUGAUAUCAUUUCUAGUGGUCAAAGGCACCUUUUUACUAAAAAGGAUUGAGGACUUCUAAAGAUUGGGAGUUUGCCUAGAGAGGUGGCAAAAGUCUUGUAAAAUGUCCCAGAUUUUGGUGGCUUCAAUGAUGGAGGCCUCGCCACAUAAGAUUAGAUCAUCAACAAAGAGAAGAGAGUGAAUGGGAGGGCAACUAGGACCAAGGGAAAUGCCCAAAAAAUUGGAGUAAUGAGUUCAGUUUGAAGGUGAAUGGAUAGCUCAUUGGUGGCCACAACAAAAAGACAAUGAGAGAGGGGGCAGCCCGGGCGAAUACCAUGAUGGGGAGUGAAGGAGGUGGAAGGCUCUCCAUUGAUAAGGAUGGAGAAAGUAGUAGUGGAAAUACAAGCUUGAAUGAGGUUGGUGAAAUUGGAGGGCAGCCCAAGACGAUUUAGAGAGUCCCAAUUCAGACAAUCAAACGUUUGGCCAGGUCAAGCUUGAGAUAAAAAAGCUUGCUGGUUCCAGUUUUUUAGGUUGGAAGAGAUGUGCCUGUGUUUUGAUGAAUGCAACUUAAGAUUAUUGAGUCAAUCGACAGCAACUUUGGCGUUUAGUAGAACACAGCAUGGUGCCAAGAUGAUACUACGAUGUCAGCAAAAACUUGUGGGAUCCACCAUUUAGUAAACGAUUAAAGAAAUUUUGAUUUCUUUUUUGUCGUUUCUGCACACCUCCAUGCCUACCAUACGUGUACUGUGUUGUUUUCAGUGGCGGAGGCAGCUGGCAAGGUUCGGCCUCCGCCGUACCUAAAAUGUAUAGAAAACACUAGUAUAUUAUGUGUAUAUACGGUUAUACACGUGAAAUAUACAUGGCUUAGCCUCUGCCACUGUGCACGAAUAGAUUUUGUUUGUGGGCUGGUAUCUCGUGGGCUUACACGACUACGAGCCCGUUCGCUUCUUAGCUGUACUUUUUUUCAGUGAUUUUUUUUUGACCAGCGAAUAGGCUCUAUGUCAAAAGCCCACGACACUAUCCAUAGAAGGAAGCAGCUCAUUGGUCUUCCUGCCUUCCUGGCUGGUCGACUACUCCAGGUUUUAGUGGCCGACUUGUUUAGUUUCAAUUUUUUUUAGCAAAAUAGAUACUGUAGCACUUUUGUUUGUAUUUAACAAAUAUUAUUCAAUUAUAGACUAACUAGGCUCAAGAGAUCUGUCUCGCAAAUUAUAGACAAACUGUAUAAUUAGUUAUUUAUUUUAUUUAUAUUUAGUGUUUCAUGCAUGCAGUGGCGGAGGCAGGAUUUUUGCUUGGGAUAUGCCAAACAAAAAGUUUUCAUAUACAAAUCGGUAAAAUCUAUUUAGCAAUUCGGUAGAAUUUUAUAAAAAAAAUGUCUAACAAUUCGGUACACAACUGUUAAGGCCUUGUUUAGUUCCAAAAUGGACAUUGUAGUAUUUUCGUUUGUAUUUAAUAAAUAUUAUCCAAUCAUAGACUAACUAGGCUCAAAAGAUUUGUUUCGCAAAUUACAUGCAAAUUGUGCAAUUAUUUUUUAUUUAUAUUUAAUACUUCAUAUAUGUGCCGCAAGAUUCGAUGUGACAAAGAAACUUUCAAAAUUUUGCUAAUUUUUUGGGACGUAAACAAGGCCUAAAUGGCAUAAGUCGUGCGUCCAUGGUGUGUUUGAAAGGAGCGUCCGAGAGCAGGUGCGAGACGAAUACCGAGGUCUUGUUUAGUUCUUCUAUGGUCUCCAAUGGGAGGGUUAGCUGAUCCACAUUAGUUAACCACUACUCCACAUUGGGCAAAGUGAUUUUGUUAACGCACGUAGCCACGGUAAAUCAUAAUUAAAGAGCCAUCGUGAUCAACUUUCAUUAUGUGAGCUUGAACAAAAUGAUCAACAUCAAGAGUUGGCCUACAAAUAAUUGUAGAGCUUUGCUAAAUUUCCACACCCUUUCUCCCACUCCAAAAAGCCAAAGUGCUCAAUCCUUAAGCAAAUCAUUCCACCAGGAGAACAAAAGCAAUGUUGUGGUGAUCAACAUCAAGGUAUAUCUGUAGAGCUUUGCUUUUACCGGUUAACGUGCAAUAUGAGUGCACAAUUAUGUUUAGGAUAGAUUUAUUAAGCUAAUAUUGUUAUCUAGUGCCACUAGGUGGGGACUAACAAUACACAUGUGUUAGACUCAGUGACAUGGUGAGGAAGCAAGUGAAAACCUUUGAAAAUGCAAACUCAGUGCUAAAGGUGUUAUUGUUCCGUCUGCCACAUUUGGGAGAUAUCAUAUUUGAAAAAGGGUUUAAGAGAGGGGCUUGGUGAGAUGGUUUGAAUAGUCACUAGAUAAGUCCGGUGGUCAUCAGAGCUUAGGCACACCCACUUUACUAGUCUAGUCAUCAGGCUGUCUCACUCUGUAGUGGGCCACCAAAAAUAUCCAUGCCUCUAGGUCCGAGCACUAAAGUUUAGGCUCCUUCACUUUGGGAGAGAAGGGGACGCUGGACACGAGGCAACAAUCGGCAAUGGCUGCAAAGCACACAAAGUUUAGAAGGAUAAAGGAAGACGACUAGAGGAGGUUAAAUAGUCAUUUCUAUAACUAAAUCAUGAAUCCUAGGCAAAUAAAUAACAUUAAUAAACUAUUUGUCACUUCCCACUAUAACAGCAGAAAUAAAACAACAGAGAUAAUCUAUUUUCAUAACAAUACAAUAAAAGGUACAUGACUCAUUAUUUCCAUGAUGAUUCCAUCCCUACCUGCGAGCGUGGAAAGCCUAAAAAGCCUCUCUCCACGGCCUUCCUAAAAAAAGCCCACCUGGCCACCUGUAGUUCAAUAUAAGCUACUGGAGAAGCUAGGCGUUUGGUCCAUCUCGAACCGCUUUUAAAGCUAAACAGCCCAAUAACCCAUUUCAAACAAGGUCGAAGCCCAAUGAGGCAGGUGGCCCAAAACCUGACCCGAUUCUCUCCCAAUUCUUUUUCCUCGUGUUGGAAUCGGAAUUGGAAUUGGAAUUUGUACGUAGUGGCGGCGAUAUCUGGUUCAGAGUGGGUGUUGAUUCGUGGAGAGCAGCUGGUCGGGCCCAUCCGCGCAGUUGGCUUGGCUUGGCCGCUGCCGCCCGUGCUCGCACCGGCCGCCCCACCUCCAUCUUCCCAUGGUGGUGGUAUCAUCCCCCCCCUUUCCUCUUCCUCCUCCCCACGUGCAACCACCUAACCCCUCUCCCACCGCCCUCCUCGCCUAGCCCGCCGCCACAGCGGCCGUCGACGAGCGCCAUGCCCGCCGCGGCGUCCACCUCCGCGACCUCGCUGCUGCUGGGCGGCGGCAGGCUCCCGCGGCUCCAGCUCCAGUCCCUCCGCGCCCCCGCCAAGCCCCCCUUCCGCCGCCCGGCCUCGUCCCCGUCCACACCGCUCCCCAGAUGCCGCGCCAGCGCGAGCCCCCGCCCUCUGGGCCCCGUCUCCGCCUCCGCCCUCGCGCUGCCCGUGUCGGUGACGGCCGCUCCCCCACCGCAGGUGGAGGAUGGUGGCUGGGUGGGAGGCGCGGCCGCGGCCGCGGCCGUGAGGAGAGUAGCUGUGGCGGUGGCGUGCGGGGCGCUCGCGGCGGCGUGGUGCCGCCGGGCGAUGGCUGUGGGGGCGGCCACGGCGGCGGGAGCGGGAGCGGGGGCCGGGGCCGGGGCGACGGGGGCGGUGGAAGCUGCCGCGGGGAUUGGAGGGAUGGCGCUGCACGGGGGCUGGCCGAGAGUGCUGCAGAUUCUGCAGCUGCUCAGGGAGCAGGGCCUGGUUCUGGCCGCGCUGCUCGGCCUCUCUGCGUUCUUCUCCAUGGCAGAAACUUCUAUCACGACGCUUUGGCCUUGGAAGGUGCGUUCAGCAAGUCUACGGAGACCCAUUUUCUUAAACUCCUGUUGUUGCCAUAGUAAUUACUGUACGUACGCGAAAUGAACUAUGCUUCCAGUUUUGCAAUCGGUUUGGUUCACUGAGCUACGAGGUAGGAUAUUGGGAGAUUUUUGGAUACUUAGAUGAGCAGAUUGGUAUUGGUGUAGUGUUGCUGCUAAGAGGGGAUGCUGAGAUGGGGUGAGUGUCUUAUGGGUACGUCCUUGUAUCAACUACUAUACUCAUUCUAAAUGGGUUUAUGCAAUGAGUAUUUGUAUGAACAAAGCAAACGGAUACGCACUAGCUUAGGCUGUUGGGUUGGGCUGUGGCAUGUGUGGGUCGAGGAUGUGGCGGUUGUCAUGCACAUCCUGCUUCAGCAGUGAUGUGAUAAUUUUGUCUCGCUUGCUGAUGACAUAAUCCACAGCACAAGUUUGUAUUUGAGAAGUGAUGUCACUGCUGGGAGUGUUGCUGAAAGACAUGGGGAAAGCAUUAUUGCUCCUUCCUUUUUUUUGUAGGAUAGAGGGCUGAGCAGCAGGCAUAACUGAUUGACAAGCUGACAACAGCAAGGUGCUUCAGAUAUAAUGACAGUGUGCACAUGCGCUUUAGUGACAUGUUGUGCUAGUGAUCUGUAGGAGAAUUAGGCAGGGAAUCUAUGCAAGGAAAGUUUUUAUUAUUUUGAAACUGGAACUAAUGACACUGGUAUUGGAUUACCGGUCUUACUGACUUUAUAUAUAAUCUCCCUUCACACCUAAUCUCAUCAACUGGAUAGGUAUUUCUGGUUCAGAAUAUUUAUAGCUUUGAACAGAACAUUGGUGCUCUUGUAACUAUCAUUAAAGGGGUCCUGCCUCUUUGUUCAUGUUUAUCAACAUUUAAAUUCAAUUCUAAUUCUUCAAAGACUACAACAAGGUGAUCAAUGUAAAUUGAUGGCUGGAUUCGGUUAAUCACAUGUUGAACUUGCAUUUUAUUUUUAGUAGAGGUUUAUUUGCAAGCACAGGAAUAAUGAAGCCCUAGGUUUAGUGCAUUUUUUCCCUCCAGAGUUGAGCCUAAGGAUUCAAGUUCACUGACACUUAUCAUUGUGGGUUCAAGCAUUUGCACACAUAUUAGCAUAUUGAAAUGGCUAAAGUAUUAGAGGUUGGUGCUAGAGUCUUUCCAUAACAGCGCACUUGGGACUGAAGUUUGAUUCAUGCAAAAUUUUUCAAUUGAAUCAUGCUUGAUGUUCAAAAACUAGCAAGAAUCAUAGAAAUAGCAACACUGUAUUGUGUAAUAGGUUGCAUACCUUUUCCCCCUUUGCAUUUGUUUAUUUUUCUAACGUUGUUUGGAAAUUGCCACAUCAAGGCCUAAUUUUCUAGUGAUCUGCCUAGCGCCCAAUAGCUAGCUAGCCUCUCUACUCAAGCAUUGAGGCAUCACCCCCUUCUACCCACCUAGGGCAUUUUCAGAUCAGUGUUUUGAAACUUUGCUUCGUAGUGGUACUCUUUUCUUAUUGUAACUGACUGUAUGCUGAGAGCGAAUAUCUAUAUGCUGAGACUUUGCUGAUUUCUUUUUUCCUUUGCAUUAGGUUCGUGAACUAGCUGAGAAGGAACCUGAGAAUGGUGUUUUCAAAAUGCUCCGAAAUGACGUCACUCGUUUCCUGACAACUAUUCUCAUUGGCACAACGUAAUCCAUGGCAUUUCUAAGUUGUGCAUCACUCAUUGCAAUUUUGUUUUACUAACCCUAAACCCUAAUCUCGGGCAUAAUUUGUAUGAAAUAGUGUGGUCAACAUUGGCGCAACAGCAAUUGUUACUGAGGCAGCAACAGCAAUGUUUGGUGAAGCAGGUGUUAGUGCAGCAACAGGUGUCAUGACAGUAUGUCUCCUGUCUCAUACUGGCCUUCUGCUCUUGUGUAAGUGUUCUUUAAUCUAACUAUGGAGCACCAUUUUUUAGGUUGCCAUCUUACUUCUUACAGAGAUCACUCCCAAAAGUGUUGCAGUCCAUAAUGCCACCGAGGUCGCUAGGUUUGUGGUAAGGUGAGAGAUAUCAAGUAUAACUUAGUUUCAAACAUGUUUAUUUUGAGUACUGAACAUUGUGCAUUUGUUGCGAUAUAUCAGACCGGUCGCAUGGCUUUCGCUGAUCCUCUAUCCAGUUGGGCGGAUUGCUACUUUUCUGUCUAUGGGAAUGCUAAAGAUUCUAGGCCUGAAAGGGAGAAGGUAAGACUGUAAGAGUAUGUAUAAUACUCUAGUUCUUGAUCAACUAGAAGAUAAAUUCUUUGAAAAUAUGCCAACUCAAUAAGCUCAUGUUAGUCAUAGAUUAUAUCCCCCAUUAGUUAUGAUAUGCUUUCAAGAAGGAUACACAAACAAUAAAUUAAUUCAUGCCACAAGAACCACACAGAACUCUUUUUUAAGAGCAUAUGGCUUGCUCUGCGUAGUGGAUAUAACCAGGGAAGCACAAGGAUUGAGUUUCUAGGUGUGUGUGGGUUCUGCUCAGGUGGGCAACUCUAGCUUCAUCCAUCUGUAUCUUUUUCUUGAUGAAAUGGCAUGCAGCUCUUUUGCGUCAUUCGAGAAAAAAUAACCAGGGAAGCACACUGAUUGAGUUCCUGGUUCCUGCCAAAUAAAAUCUCACCUGUUUUCUUUUAAAAAUGGAUUAAACUUGUAUAUUACUAGAAUUCAAGUACAAAUGAGAUGGUACAACAUGGACUAGAUUAGACUAGUUUGAGUAUGUGUUGAGUCUAGUUUAUAGGGUGAUAGUUGUACUUUCUAAAAUUUCUAUAAUUAGUAAAUAGUGCAGUGACUAUAUUUUUAAUCAAUAGAUGACCGUUGACACUAUUCCAAGAAUUGCAUAUCAUCUGUUAUUGUUCAUGAAGGAUCUAAUUCUAGUUUGAAUUUGCUAGAAACUUAUUGAUUGCUUUCUGUAUAAUUUAGUUUACAAAUUGAAUUUAGUAUCUGAUAUUGUAAUACAAUACACAUUUGUAUGUUAUUUUUUGCAUUUUUUUUACAAAAUCCAGUACUCAAGUACAUUGAUUUGCUAUGUCUUUUAGUUACUACAUUUGUAUAUGUUUAACCAAUAUACAAUUGAGAUUCCUAUAUAGAUAAGAUUUAGUUUUUCUUUUUCAUAACUCUUGACAUUUCUGGAGAUCUACUUCUGAAUCUUGUGCAUCAUAUACACUUCUUUCCUCAGUGAACCAUAUGUUACUGAAGAUGAACUGAAGUUAAUGUUACGAGGAGCAGAGUUGAGUGGUGCAAUUGCAGAAGAUGAACAGGUUAGACAAUCUAGUAUAUGGAGAUGCCCAUAUAUUGUGCUGCAUAUUUCCUUCUUUAUUCUUUAUGUUUCUGUGUACCUCACAGCAAGAUUUUGUUAUCCAGUGCAAUCUAGGCAAAGCCUUUACUUACAAUUUUUAUAUCAUAUAGAAAGCUGACUACUUACAUAAAUAAAGAGUGAAUUAAUGAAAUUUCAGGAAAAUAGUAACUAACGUUUUUGCAUGAUUUUAACUGCUAAUUUAAUGUUUGUACACCAUCUCAUCACAUAUAUCCAGAAUUUGAAAAGCAGUAUGGCCCCAAAGGUUUGAGUUAGAUUAUACUGUUGCAGACUAGGAUUUUGCCUCUUGAUAGUUUACUAGCACACUUUGGCUACUUCUUUGUUUUCUUGAAAACGCAGGAGAGCUGCACUUCAUUAUAUUAAGAGGAUAAAGGGCAAGAGCCCGAACAACCCCACAAACACCAUACACACACCACACACAUCACACACUCACGCCCCAACAGAAAUGUUACAUUCGCGCCCGUAAGAAAACACACAACGCGACCACUACUAGGCUAAACAUUUCUAACUAUCGGGGAGGAGGGCAGUCAAGAAUGAUAGCUCUCGAGCUGCUGCCAUAGACCAUAAACGGCGCUCCUCGCCUGCUAUGAUCAGAGCGCCAGCAAGGUUUGGAGCUGCUCCAUCAAAGACACACCCAUUGCGAUGGUUCCAUAUAGUCCAAGCUCCGAGCAUAACAAGAGAAUUAAUUCCUUGCCUUGUCAGCCCAUCAGCAGUGCUGCUAGCCUUCUCCCACCAAGCAUGGAAGGAUAAUUCUGUAAGCUGAGGGGACAAAAGCCUGAUUGAACCAAAAUUCUCUUGUGAACACACAAUGGACAAGUAGAUGGUCGAUAGUCUCCUUUUCAUGGUCACAAAGGAGGCAAUUCUCCGGAUGAGGUAACCCUCGGCGUGCUAGACGAUCAGCUGUCCAGCACUUAUUGUGCGACCAGCCACAUAAAGAAACGGCAUUUGGGCAGCACCCAUGAUUUCCAAAUCUUUUCCCAUGGUCCAAAAAGAGUAGAUCCGAAAAAGAAGCCUUCAUAUGCCGAUUUAGCCAAGUAUUGUCCAUUAGAGGAGAGCCUCCAUAGGUGCUGCAGCUGAAAAUCCAGAAGUAGAUCCCACCAUAAGUGAAAGUAGUCAACAAACCCACCAACUGUGAGCGCUCCUUGUAUGUCCAAAAUCCAAGCCCGGUUAGUAAGGGCAUCCUGGACAGUAUGCUGCUUAACCCUCCUUUUAGGAGUAGCCACAAAAAGUCGAGGGGCAAGAUCUGCAAUGCAUUGCCCAUUGAUCCGAUCUGUCCAGAAAAGAGUGUUUGCACCAUCCAAUUUCAGAAGUUACUGCCACUGAGUAGAAGGCUCUUACUUGCUUCGGCACAUGGAAUGGUAGAGCAGCCCAAGGACAAUGAGGUUCUGUUUUCUGCAGCCAAACCCAUCUCGUGCGCAAGGACCAGCCAAGGGUUUUUAAAUCUGAAAUUCCCAGGCCUCCAAGCUCUGGUGGGCCACAGACUUUGACCCAAGCCACAAGACAAUGACCACCUUUUUGCAUAUUUUCGACCCCUCCAAAGAAAGCCACGCCAAAUUUUAUUUACCACUUUGAUAGCCAUGGAGGAAAGUCGAAAGCAAUAGCUAAGUAAAUGAGCAUUCUCAGUGAGAACUGAUUGUACUUGAACCCUUCUUCCAGCCCUUGUCAUUAGGUCUGCCUUCCAGCCAGGAAGUUGAUCUGCAGUACGAUCAAUAAUAGGCUGCACUUGUUUCUUUAGGGAGAGGGGCAGACCUAAGUAUUUGCAUGGGAAAUCCGAGAGGGGCACACCUAGCUAGUUUCUUUGGCUACUGUUAUCCUUUAGGUAUUUUGCAGAACCUUUCCAUAGCAAUCCCAUUAAUCUUUAGGAAGCGAUCCCAUUUGUUAAAGCCCCUGCAGGCAACUUUCAAGUUCAUUAUUCUCGAUCACAGGUAGUCAUUCUGCAUAUUUUUCCCUCAGAAUCAUCAUAAGAAUUGGGUUAAGUGGAUAGGUCAGACUAUAGCAUGGAAAUACAUAAGUACUGAUAGGUUGUUGAAACUAUCUAAGACUACAGAUUUAUCGUGUCAAUUUGUCACAAAUAACAGAUUUUAGCUGAUGAAAUCAGUACUUCUGCAGUACAUAGAAAUACUAAAUGUGUAGUUUUAGUUUUGCAAAAACAAGGACACUAAAUUUAUAAUUCUGUGAUAAAACUUCUUAAAUCUGUAGUUUUGUGAUAGCAUAGCCCACUCACACAUAUACAAAAAAAAAGAAAAAGAAAAAAAGGAACCAUAUAGUUAUUUAUGUGCUUAGAUUCUAGGCCCUAGAACUAGAACCUAUAGCUGUGUUACACUAUUAUGAAUUCCUAGUCCGUGCCUGCUUGUGCAGGACACUUUUCUACUUGAUCAGCUAAAGUCAGCACCUGAGUCUUUUAACAGGAUAUGAUCGAGAAUGUCCUGGAAAUUAAAGAUACACAGGUGAGGGAAGUAAUGACGCCUUUGGUGGACGUAGUUGCAAUUGAUGCUAUUGCAACACUUAUUGAUUUCAAAAACUUGUGGGAAACUCAUCAGUACUCUAGGUAUUGUCAACUAUUAUUGUCGCGUGUAUUUUCAAGUCUUAUCACUGACAUCUGCUGCUAUUUGUUAUUUCCAGAGUUCCUGUAUUUGAGGAGCGCAUAGAUAAUAUUGUUGGAAUUGCAUAUGCAAUGGACAUGCUUGAAUAUGUUGAAGAGGUAUGUCUCUUGUUUACCAUUUAAUGUAAAACUUAAUCACAGUGAGUCUUAUUUGCUCCACAUGAUGCUUCUCUAAAGGGAAAGUAAAAGGUGUAUUUUUCUUUUGAAGGUUGAGAAGCUGAAUGAAAUCACUGUUAAGAAAAUCGCACAUAUGCCUACAUACUUUGUUCCAGGUAAUUUUUAGUAACAUUGUUGGAUACAAGUAUCAUGAUGAACUAAAAGAAGGCAUCUGUCAGUAGUUAUAGGGUUGGAUGUUUUUCCACAACAAUUAAUCAUUUCUGCCACAUGUUUUCUCCCAUCUAUGCAUCAUGGAUGUAACAUAUGAUACUGUUUCAUCUGGCAGAUUCAAUGUCUGUUUGGAACCUAUUAAGAGAGUUCCGGAUCAGGCAGGUUCAUAUGGCAGUGGUCCUUAAUGAAUAUGGUGGAACUAUUGGUGUAUGUCCCUAUGAAACCCAUUUUUUAUACUUUACAAACUGGACACAGUUUAGUACUUGUUAAUAUUCUUGUUAUGCUUUCAUCCAAGGCUAGUUGCUCAAUUGAGACCAUUUUGACUUAUGGCACACAACGAGGUUCAACAUUGUUUACUCCAAUCAAUUUUUAGUUGUAACUUCCAAGCAUGCUAGUUAGUUUGCUAAUAAUUGAUGAAUGCUAGUCAGUACAUGGUGACAUUUUGAUGGCCAUUUAUUGGCAACACUACUGGCUUUUGUUCCACAAUGGUCGUGUUUUUAGCACAAGCAUGUGGUGCGAUGCUUCAAGUGAUCUUGCUGCACAGCUUAUGUAACUGCAGCAAUGGGGCACUUUUCAUCUGUUGCAGUAGCAGUCCCUGUUGUUCAUGGUUUGUUUCCUUUUAAGAUAUACCCCACACAUAGAGAUUAGUUAUGCUCCAUGCAGCAGAGAUUAUUACUUUCCACAAGUUUAGAGAUUGUUUCUUAGGAAGUAGUUAUGCUCACAGUUUGUUCAUCAGUUUCUGUUUUCAGAAGUAGUUGAUGAGCGAUGAACAUGUUUUGAUUAUGUUUGCUGCUGAAAGGAUAAUUCUUUAAGAUGUUUUUCUCAUUACUGAUGCUCAUUGGUAAAAGUUGCAAAUGAUUGGACAAAGCUACUACCCGUGAGCUUCCUUUGUCUCACAUACCCUUCGAGCAAUUACGCUUUAAUGUAGCAAUAUCUAUCCAUUACUUGCAGCAACUAAGUCCUAUUGUAUUCAGAAAUGUUUAUUAGAACAGUUUGUAAUUUCAUAUGUUUAUCACUGCAUGGGACAUUGGGAAUUACUCUGACCUUUGGCCAAAAAAAAAUGCAGAUUGUAACACUAGAAGAUGUAGUGGAAGAAAUAGUUGGUGAAAUAUUUGACGAGAAUGAUUCCAAGGUGAUUAUUUCUGGAAUUUUUUAUUUCAAAUCGCAAGUGGGUGUUCAGUGCCAUACAUAUGCAUGCUAUUAUUUUCUAUUUCUUUUUCAAAAUUAUUUCCCCCUUUCUUUUGGUUUAUUAUUCCCUUUUUGCCUUGUAACUAUCGUUCUUAUAUUACAUAACUGACUUUUCAUAUGUUGGUAAUAAAUAAUGAUAUGCUAGCAUUUGAACUUACGAAAUUUAGUGGGCCAAACAUACUGAGCCAUGCCAAAAAAGACAGGCAAAUCAUACAGUCAUAUUUUAGCAGCAGCAGUGCAUUAGCGCGGUGGGUACUGAGCCGGAGUUUGCAUGUGCCUGAAGGUGGCUGAAUGAAUAAGGUGGAUAUUACCCUACCCGCACCCAAAUCAAAAUGUGUAUUUUAUUUCUACCCAUACCCUCCCCAAUUAAUGCGGGUGUGGAUUUGAAUAUGGGGAUUGAAUAUCCAGCGGCAGGUAUAAAGAUUAGAUCUCCUGCCUCAGUGCUUCUCCAAGAUCUGGAAGCAGCUGCUUCACUCCUAUUUUCUGUAUCCUAGUCAAAACAAAGGAUUUUUCCAUGUAGCAAGCUAGUUGCUCUUUGUCAUUUGCUUAGGCAGUCUCUCAAUUCCUUCUGCUACUCUGUUUUUCACCCUUUCAGGAGGAAAUCCAGAAGAAAACAGGCUAUAUAGUGAGGCGGGGAGAUGGAACAUUUGAUGUUGAUGCAAAUACAUCAAUAGAUCACCUCUCUGAAGAGCUUGGUAUCAAAAUACCAGAGGUAUUGUUUCUCAUUUGAUCUUAGCUUUCUCUACAGUUGCUAUGCAUUCCCUUGGACAUGUGUAUAUUUAAGGAAGGUAUGGCUCGGAAAAUAGUAGAUUGAUUAUGAGUAGUACAAAAGGGUAGGCAAGGAUGAUCUGGGAUUUAUAGAACAAUACCCAAUCAGGGAGAUCCUUGCCUAAUAGCUAAUCAACUACAUAAAACCCAUGGAGGCAGGCUUAGGUGCCAGGGCCCAUGCGGCCAGCCCAAUAGCCCUCUGGAAACUCCAUUCUAACAUAUAUGUUGGAGUGGACACUGUAUGAUGAUCAUCGAAAUGUGAGUUCCAUCAUUUAGAGAUGCCUGGUUUGCAGAACCUAUACAGAUAUAACGUUAUUAUAUCUAUUUUUUGGUGGAAACUGGACAUUUAAUAUUUAGGUCAACAAAAUAUUCACAAAUGUUCUGUUUGUAAAAUAUGCCCUUGGUAGUCAUCAUUUAUAUGGUGCUCUGUAUUUCUGUCAUGUUUCUCGUAGAUUGGCUGAUAAUCUUGAGACACUUGGACACUAUCUUUUGGCAGGGGCAUCAGUAUGAGACGGUGUCUGGUUUUGUCUGUGCAUCUUUUGGCUAUAUUCCAGAAGAAGGUGGGAAAAUGCUUGUGAUUCUUGAAAAGGAUUACAGAGAAGAAAACGGUGAAUAUCAGGAGGAAGGUUCUGAUCGCCAAGAUGAUAGAGAAAAAACUCAAGCUUACGAACUUGAGGUAAUUGUUACAACUCCUUGUGUACUCUGUUUGCUCAAGAGUUCUAGUACCAGGUCAAUUAUUAUAAUGCGAUUAUCUUGUCAUCGCUAGAAAUCUUUACUAGUAUAUAUAACUAUUAUGAAUUUUCCUUCAUUACUUGAAAGCUGAAAGACACCACAAAAGCUUCAAUUUUCUUUGUUGAUGCAAUACCAUGAAACCUUUUUUGUUAAAUAACUCUCAUUAGAACCAAUUUUCCAUACAGGGCAUUUGGUUCUUAGAUCAUUUUAUAGGAUAUUUCGUACUAUAAGUAAGAACCAACUACUAUCCACAAUUACCUCUACAUGCUUGUUUGUGCAUAUAAAAAGACAACAAUACUCAGAAGGUUGCUGUAACAUGUCCACACUCCGCUUUUGUGGUGCUAAUACUACCGAACAUUUGUAAUUGCUUUUUUUAUUUGAAGCUAAAAAAAGAAAGUAUACAAAAACUAAUAGAUAAGAAAACCAACUACUCAAUUGUCAAUUCAGAAUUCAUACUGUGGGUUAUAAGGUUAUUUCAGUGAAAUUGUUUUGGUAUUGGUACACAACCUUUAUUAGUUGGUGCAACUCCCAUUUCCGGAAGUCUUCGUACACUUUAAUUGAAUUGCUGCAGCCCUAGGAAUCCAUAGUUUCUGUUUCACAAUUCACCCAAAGUUUCAUUCUUUGUUGCAGAAUUAAAUAACCUUCUGUAGUUGUUUUCACUACCUUUAUUACCUGGCUUCUCUUGCUCACAGAUAGUGGAAGCUAAUGCAAGGAAGGUGGGCAAAGUCCUAUUUAAGCCAAUAAGCAGUGAAUGUGUUGGUGUUGACAACAAGGGUGUGAACCGCCUGGUCUCCAAGAAGAUCAUCAAACGGAAGAAGCAGGGCUAUGAUGAUUCCUCCGGUGACGAGUAUCCAGAUACAACAGAGAAUGGCUGCCCUGCUGAGGCACUCUCCUACUCGGAUGGUAACAGUGCCUUGUUGGAAGAUGCAAGCAGUUCUAGUGCCAAGAGGUGACAAUAAAGGAACUCCAAGACCAUCGUACUACUGGUAAUAAUUACAGCACACCGUCACCGGUCCUAAUACCCCUUGUUACAACAGAAGAAGAUGAGAAGAACAUAGUAGUAGGCUACCCAAAAAAAAAAACUGCGAGAGCAACACCAAGAGGUUAACAGCAGUUUAAGGCAUUGCAACAUUUUUCAGUAGCAGGAGUAGCAGUAGUAGCAGUCUAGAGGUGCAGCGAGGUGUCGACGUCGACUUCACCAGAGACAUGUUUGUAGUUGUAGGUCUUACUGGGCCACAGCUCCACCGCAAUGGGGUCGCUAUCGCCGUGGAGCUGGAAGCUUUUGCAUUCACAGACAGUGGUUGGCACGGCCGGGAAUAAGGAGGCUGCGGCGGCAACAGCGGCAGUGGUUUCCCGCAGCGGCCUGCACGGGUAGAGCAGCUCCGGGUGGAAGAACCACUUGACGGGCAUCUCCCUCGGGGAGGCGGUGGCCGCAGGGCGGGGGGCGAGCACGUGGAGAAGCCUCUCCUCCCGCUUCUCCCUGAUCCUCUCCAGCUCCCUGAACCUCUGCUGCAGCAGGGCGAUGGAGGAGAACAUCACCUGGCCUUCGCUGCUCUGCACCCCCAUGAUGACUGGGCGAGAGGGGGAGCUCUCACUCCAGCUCCGAGUUUCAGUUACGUGUUCGUGUCGUGUGUAUCUCACUCAAGCGUCUGUCUACUUCGCUCGGUGUGUGUGGGGGUUUUGCUUGCUGCUUGAAGGGGUGGUGGUCUUGGGCAUGUGCGUAUUUAUAAGCCGCAAAGUUUUGUCACGGCGCAGGGCGUCGUCUUGUGGUCGUCUUGCAAGUUGCGCCAAUUCUUUCAUCUUCAUCUUCCAUUAUGUGAUGCUAUGCCUGUUUGUGUGUUUUGUUUAUGGGCUGAUUGAAAAACAAAAGAGGCACUAUUGGUAUGAGAGAGAAUCUGGGAGGAGAAUGUCACGUCGCCCGAGAAAGGAAGUGGGAGGCGUGCAGGUGAGAGAAUAAGGGGCGUGGCGUGGGAGAGUCCAAGGAAAUGGGGCUGUGGACGCUUGCGCUUGUUCCGUUCCUGGCGGUGGGAAUCGCCGUGUGCCGUUGUGAUGUGCGGGGUGGCCAUGAUUGCGCCUCUGUUUGUCUGUCACCUUUUUCCCUUGCGCAUUGCUGCAGCAGCAGGGCAGGGGAGAGGUCUGCAUGCCCUGCCAUGCCCUGCCCUGCUGCUCGUACUAGCUCGCUACUACUCCCUUCCCCCUCUCCAUCCAAACGGGCACUGCGAGCUUUUCCUGGUCUAUAAUGGCGUCGUUGGAGCUGUAGUACGUGCUGUUCGUAGCAACUGUGGGCAGCGCUUUCAGGUGUGGAACUGUGCACUCCAUGAGCCAUUGUCUUCGUUUGCGUGUGUGAACGUGUUGGAGAGUCUGGGAGCAGAAAGUCUGCGUUGAACGUUACUUCUUUGGGUCUUUGACUGGUGCGUCCAUAGAUCUGUGAAUGGGAGCGCUGAUUGCACGCUGCGUAGUACAGUGCGUUCGAGUAACGCUGAGACGGCGUGCUGCUUUGAAGUUUCAACUUUUGGUUAAUUCAGGAAAGUUGAUUGAUCUUAUGUUUUUUGACGGCCAGGUAAACACGGCCAAUUGCACCGGCGUCAAAAAGACCUCUGUCAUCCGAUGCUUUGGACAGUAAUUGAGAUAUUCGUAACAAAUGCUUCACUACCCGAAGAGAAAACUAGUUUUCGUUGGUUUCCGCAUUUUGUGAAAAUAAGAAAGGGCAUGUUUGAGUCAGAGUCGGGUUAUUAUAAUUGGAUUAUCGACUCUAAUAAUUAGAGUGCUAGAUUUUUUGUGGUGGAACCUAUCCAUUUCUUGCCUAGCCAGCCAACUAUCAUGAUGCUACAUGGUAUUUAAGUAACGACCAUUUUCUCAAAUGGUCAAGGAUUAUAUUCUUCUUUGAUUUUUUUUUCCCUUCAAGUGGCCUAGGGUUUUGUAGUCUAAUGUGAACAAUAUCAGGUGAAAACAAAAUAGCAUCAAAGAAUAGAUAGCCAAAAUGCCUAACGAAAAGGAAAAUUGUGGGUUACAUGUCUCAUGAAUUAUUUGAUGAAGUAGAAUAAGAUACGUUCGGUUAUUUGAGAGAAAAAAAAACUGCACAACAUAAAAAAAUAACUGUUUGCCUAGUUGGCUAAGAAAAAAUAUAGUGGGCUCCAUGGCUCCUAAGACUCUUUAAAUAUCAUGUAAAUGGAUAUAAAAGAAGUCAAUAAAUCAUUCUGCUGAUAUUGACUGAAUUAUUUGCUAUCAACAAUUAUCCAAAAAAGAUUUCUUUAAGAAUAAUAUUUCUACCAUGUAAAACAAGAAGAAAAAGACAAAUUAAUCGGAACUUUUGUUUGUGGCUGGAACUAUUGUAAAUGUCAUUGUUGAGUUGAGAUAUUUUUUUUUUGAAGUUCCCUUUUUGCGAGGAAUGAGUAAUCUGAACGUUAUUUGUUUGUGGUUGUUGAUUCCCUGGAGCUGUUAUAGAAGUCAUUAUUGAGUAGAGAUUUUUUGAAGUUCCUUUUUGCAACGAAUGAGUAAAUAGUUGCAUAGAUGUUUGAUGGUAUUAGCAUACUCUGCUUCUAAAAUAAUGAAAGGGAUUUUCCGUUACUAUUUAGUUGUGGACUGAGGCCUGAAGAAGUAUGUUUUGAAACUCGGAAUUUCAUGGAGGAUUUGUAGGAAUCCCAUAUAUAAUAAACAUGUCAAAAUUAAUCCUCCUAUAUUUUCUUGGUCAUUUUCUAGAGCUAGGCUCAUUUAUCUUUAAUUUGUCUAGUGAAGAGUAUAUGUAUAUCCUUUGCUCCAAACAUGUAGUGGUGAGUGGAGUUUACUAAUAUUAUUAUGUGUAGUUAACCUAGAACUAGAAGCUUGGUAACUGAGCCUUAUCUAAUCUGGCCCUAAACUAACUUAUCAUCCAAACUGAUCAGUUGGAGUCUUGUGACGAUGAUAUCUCUGGUUUGUUGUGGAACGGGACUAGUACUGCCGGACAUAUUAUACAUUGGAUGCAUGCGACAUAUAUACAGUGUUGAACUUGUUUAUAUUAAUUUAUCCUGGAUAGCCAAUAGUAGCCCAUAACAUUAACAUGCAACAUAGUAUAUGCAUUUGCAUGUACUGCUAGUUCCCUGCUACGUACGAUCCUGACAGUAGGCACCUAAUCUUUCCAUGCCCCAAUAUUUUACCGCCGCUGUCGCUUCCAUUCUAGAGAGAGAACAAUAUGACCAUCUUGUAAAACAUUCUAGAGAAGAGAUGCAUGGAGAGUAUGGCAAUAAUUUAAGCAGAUUGAUGGGAGCGAGAUAUUUUUAAAGGCAGAUCAUCGAUUGAUGCAUGGGAGCGAGAGAGCUUAGCAGAGAAAAUAAAGAAGAUUGGUGAUUGGUGAUAGGCCGGGGCAGCCGUGGUGCAGCAGCAGCUAGAACUAGAGAAGCUAAAAGGAAGGCUGAUGGCAGGGCAGGGCAGUAGUUUAAGGACGGGUCCAUGCCUGCAGCUAGCUAGCAUCUAUCGACGUUCCUCCGUUGUCGCGGAGCCGGUGGACGCGAAUGGCAUGCGUGGGUGCACUACCCUGCUGAUGCACACAGCAUGCAUUGCUGCCUGCAUGCGACAUGGUAUACAGCUCCCGGCCGGCGUCUCUCCUCUCCUCUCUUCUCUUCUCUUGUCCAUCCAUCGGCAGCAUACGGUCGGUCACUCGCAGCAUGCAUGCUCCUCUGAUCGAGCUCUGCUGGUGUCGUGUCGUGUCGUCGAUGGAUCGGGGCCGGGUUGGGUGUUGCUGCAUUGCAUGCUCCCUAAAGCGCCGCCCUUGUUGCCAAAGUGAAUGCUGCCGACGACGACCGCCGCGCCGCCCGUCUUCUUUUUCGGCGGAGGGGGGCGGCCGGGCACGGGCACGGGCACGGCACAGUCUUCCGGGCAGGGGCAGGGGCAGCCGGGCAAGCCAACACCUGCUAGCGGACGAGAAAUUGAAUCGAAUGGGAAACAAAGAAAAAAUUGAUGGCUGAUGGCUCCAUCUUUCUUUCUGUCUGUCUGUCUGUCGGUCAGUCAUUUUACUAAUUUAUUUGACUGCGCUACGGAGACGACAGUGUAACAUUUUUAUUUGUAUUUAAUAAUUAUUAUUUAACUAUAGACUAAUUAGGCUCAAAAGAUUCGUCGCGUAAACUAUAGACAAACUGUGCAAUUAGUUUUUAUUUUCGUCUAUAUUUAGUACUUUAUACAUGUGCCACAAGAUUUGAUAUGACGGGAAAUUUUAAAAAGUUUUUGAAUUUCGAAGUGAACUGGUCAAAUAUGCAAUGCUUGUACGUGCGCACUAGUUUAUGCCAAUGAUUCAUUUUUCGCGGAUCCUCCGAAUUUCACACCAUACAGUCAGAAUAUAAUUGCUCCAAGACACGUCAAUUUUGAUGCGUCAAUUUGUGCAUGUGGUUCCUGGCACUACUGGAUCCGGCUUCUUUGCCGAGAGCCGCGAGCCCUCGGCAAAUGCCUAAAAGCCCUCGGCAAAGGCUUUGCCGAGGGCCAUAAACGCCCUCGGCAAAGCCUACGGCGCCGUCGAAAAACGUCAAUAUUGACGUCGUCUUUGCCGAGAGCCAUGCUGGCAGGCUCUCGGCAAAGAUUCUUUAUUUUUUUUAAAAAAAGCCUUUGCCGAGAGCCCUGCAGGAAGGCUCUCGGCAAAGAACCCCUUUGCCGAGAGCCAGACAUCCAGGCUCUCGGCAAAGAACCCCUUUGCCGAGAGCCAGACAUCCAGGCUCUCGGCAAAGCUGUAGUUCUUCUGAACCCGGCUUUCUAUCUUUGCCGAGUGCCAGCCAUCCAUGCUCUCGGCAAAGCUGAGAAUUUAGUUUUUUUUUCUGUUUUUUAUCUGUUUUUUACAUGCACAGCCACAUAUGUAUAUAUAUAUAUCACAAAUCCCUUUGUCUAUAUCACAAUCCACAUAUAUAUCACGCAUGAAACAUAUCGAAGUCCACAGAUAUCACAAAUCCACAUAGAUAUGACAAAUAUAACAUUACGUCCAACAUAAACCAUAAGUCACCACAAGUUCAUAACAUAAACCACAAGUCCACGUGAAUAUCACUCCUCGAAGUCGCUAGCGCCUCACCCCUAGUGCUGUGACUCUGACCUGUCGUCGCCGUGGCCUCCGUCGUGUCCCGAGCCUCCAUCUGGCCAAGCCGACCAGGGUGAGUGCCCCCCAGGGUGUGUAGAGCUCGCACCUGCCCACGGCGCCCACAUGGCCUGCCCUGGCACCGACGGGUACGGGUACGAGUACCCGGGGCGCGGAGGAGGGCUGCCGGACAACCCGGGGUGGCCGUGCUGCGGAUGGGCACCAGGCCACGUGUGCUGCGUACUUGGGUGGCCAUAAGUAGUAACCUGCCACCCACUCCUUGGAGAAGGGGUCGGGUUCGAACCCCACGACUGAUGCUACAUAAUAUAAAAGCGAACUCAUUAGUAUCUGCAGGACGGCCACACAAGCCAAAGCAAUAGACAAACAUAUAUACACUCACCGGACUGCCUGCAGGGGCAGGAACAGGGGGUGGAACAGGGGGUGGAGCGAAGAGCGAGGCAGGCAGCGGAGGCGCUGUAGAGCUGUGGAUGGACUGGAAGUAUCCGACUAGGUCCGAGAUCUGACGCUGCGUGUGCUGCUGCUGUGCCUCCAUGUGGCGCCGAUGGGCCUCGUCUCUGGCCGCCAGCGCGGCCGCCAGCUCUCGCCGAUGAGCCUCCUGCAGCUCGUCCUGCCUGGCCCGCAACUCCUCUAGCUGCGACUGCAAUAUUACACCCGCAAUGGUUAAACAAUGCAAAAGGAGAUGUAUAUAUGUAAAAAUAAUGGACGAUGGAUAAAGCUGUAGUUACCUGCAUCGUAGCUAUCUGCUGCACGGAGCUCGGCUGACGAGGCCGUAUGGGGACGUCGGAGGUCGAGCUGCUCCCCUGCCGAACCUCGCGGAGCGUGGGUACGGUGGCCGGGUUGAUUGCGCUGUGGGCAAUCAUGUACCGGCCGUGCUGCUUCCCUCCUCCCGUCCUCAUGAGCAAGUCCGUGUCCGAGACCCUUUGCCGUGGGCCGUCCAGUCUGGCUCUCGGCAAAGACCCUUUGCCGUGAGCCUAACGCGCAGGCUCUCGGCAAAGAACUGCUGACUUUUUUUAUUCUUUUUGAAUUUAGAGCUGAGUUUUUUUUUUUGUCCUUGUGACUCAAUUUCUAAAUACAUUUUAAAAUUUGGCAUUAAUUUGACUUUUUUUGCUAUAUUUAACUAAUUAAUCUUGUUUCUUUAUAUUUUUUCACAUAAUUCAAAUUUCAACUGUAGGUACAUGAAAUAUUACAACUCAAUGAUUCGAAAAAUGAUAGUCAAGAUAUUUGGUGUACGUUGAGGUCGUAACCACAACCACACAUGAAAUCUCAACCCUCUCGCUAACAUAACAUGUCAAGGAAUGUGAGGGAAAAUGGAUUUAUAAUUAUAUAAAUUUCAAAUAAACUCCAAAAAUCACGAAACUUGGCGACGUGUCGUGUUAUCGCAUGUGGAGGCUGUGGUAAAAAAUUCAUAAGGUUCCGAGCAAGUUGCGACACCGGAUGUCUAAAACCCAGACAUCUCCACAUGUUAUCGAAUGUGAUCACAUGCGGAGAUGUCUGGGUUUUAGACAUCUCGUGUCGCAACUUACUCGAAACCUUAUGAUUUUUUUACCACAGUCUCCACAUGCCAUAACAUGACACAUCGUCAAGUUUCGUGAUUUUUGGACUUCAUUUGGAAUUUAUAUAAUUAAAAAUCACUUGUACGACACAUGGAUGGUCAUGUUUUAUAUACAAGAAAUUCAAACUCUUGGGUGAGUUUAUGGAUACAACAUCAAAAUGCAGUCUUGAACAUGAGUAUAAUUUUUUGAAUGACUAUAUUUUAUUAUUUCAUGCUCCUACAGUUCAAAAUUACUUUUUCGAGAAAAAUACAAAUAAAAUAAUUUAAUUAAAAAAUAUAGCAAAAUGUUAUAAAAAGCUCUCAAAUUUGAACAUGUGCUUAUAUACAAUAUGUAAGGGUUACAGAAAAAGUUUGAGUACAAAACUAAAAAAAAUCUUUCUUCUUUGCCGAGAGCUUGACAAGGCACUUGGCAAAGGCCUCCUCUUUGCCGAGAGCCUAACGCCGUGGCUCUCGGCAAAGGUGACGACAACGGUUGCCGUUACCAGCGCUGCUCCUUUGCCGAGAGCCUAUCUUUGCCGAGAGCUAGGCUGUCGGCAAAGCUAGCCUUUGCCGAGGGCUUGCCUUUGCCGAGAGCUUGACCAUCGGUAAAGUUUCUUUGCCGAGGGUCGUUUCUGACUGUCGGCAAAGGCAGUCUUUGCCGAGGGCUAGCUCUCGGCAAAGCUGAGCCCUCGGCAAAGCUCUCGUUUCCUGUAGUGUGGGCUUUGAAUUGAUCGAUGGCAAAAAGCCGUAAUGGAAGCACGUCGCGUCUUGAAUGCAUGCACUAUAUAGGAAUAUAGCUACACAAAAGAAGAGAAAUAAUGACACACAUAGUAGUAGCUAGCUAGUAAAGUGUGUAUGUAAGGCCUUGUUUAGUUCCCAGAAAAUUUUGCAAAAUUUUUCACGGUCCCCGUCACAUCGAAUCUUUAAACGCAUACAUAAAGUAUUAAAUAUAGACGAAAAUAAAAACUAAUUGCACAGUUUGGUCGAAAUAGACGAAACGAAUCUUUUGAGCCUAGUUAGUCCAUGAUUGGAUAAUAUUUGUCAAAUACAAACGAAAGUGCUACAGUGUCGAUUUUGCAAAAUUUUUCGGAACUAAACAAGGCCUAAACCUAAAAGCCCAUGCAUUAUUGCUUUUUAAAAAGUUAAAGCGGUGAUGGAUGGUUUUGUUCAUGGCUCGAGGAGGAUGUGUCCUAGCUAGUUGUUGGUGGGGGAGGUGAGAGUACCUAGGAAAAUUUGCUUACAUUUUCCUGUACAUGCAUGCAUGCAACGCUAAUUGGAUGGAUAUGGUCGGAACAUGCAUGGGUCCACCAUUCACAUCUCUUGGUCCUACACGCACGCCUACUAUUGUGAUGCGUCUCAGCUUUUUAAUGUGCCUGCGUUGCAUGCAUGCAGCUGGGUACGUAAGGACACGCCGCAAGCUGCCCAAACUCUAGCUCUGCUUCCCGCAUUGCAUUGCAUUGUAUCUACCUCGUGGCGCAUUAGGGUUAGAGAGAGAGAGAGAGAGAGAGAGAGAGAGAGAGAGAGAGAGAGAGAGAGAGAGAGAGAGAAGUGUGGUAUAGCUAGCAUGCAUCCAUAUAUAUCCGAUCGACCUGUAGUUCAUGGCACAUUCAUUAGGUUUGGAAGAGUGAGAUCGAGGCAGGACGAUAUGUAGUACGUCGUCGUCCUUCGUAUAAACGGACAUUCGCUCAAUGUUGAAUUGUUGACAGACGACGAUGCGCGCGGCACUUUGUUUGACCAUGCAUGCAUUCAUCCGUGCAUGCAUGGAGCGUCUAUGUGCUUGUCCCUGAAUAAACUAAUUAAUCACUGCACGAACUCGAUCGCCUUGCUGUCAACUUAGCUUAGCUUAUUACAAGUGUGUUAACGACAAGCAAUCAUGGAAAUGAGCUGCAUAUAGACACUGUUCACAAUGCACGUUAUGUUGGAGCACUAGCUAUAGCUAAUUAAUGAGCCAGCAAUUAACAAAACGCCUGCUAAACCAAAAUAUGCAUUUAAGCCAUGUUUCGUUUCCUCCGGUAAAGUUUAACUCCUGUCAUAUCGAGUGUUUGGACACAUGCAUUAAAUAUUAAAUAUAAAUUAUUUACAAAACUAAAAUAAAACUAGAGAGUAAUUUGCGAAAUAAAUCUUUUAAAUCUAGUUAGUCUAUAAUUAGAUACUAAUUGUCAAAUAAAACAGAAAUAUGCUAUAUGCUACAGUACAUCCUUAACCGGCAAGUACAGGCCGGGUGAGGCAUGUCGGAUGCUAGAGAUGGCCAAAUGGGCUAAGCCCAAUAAUACGCAGCCUAAGCACAUAUGGGCCUACUAAAGCAUCGCAUUACAUUAUGGGUCGAGCCACUAUGUGUCUCGUGCCCUUUUUUACCAUUCAAAAUGGGUGCUCUCAGGAUGGAUCAUAAUUAUGCCCCUUUUUAAUUCGAGAGCAAUGUUGAUCAAAUUUCGUCGUAGUUGCAGCACAGCCAAAAAAAAAAACUAACAAAAAGAGCCUGUCAGACAACCCAUGGGCCAUCCCAGCCAGGCAAGCCUGGCCGGAAACGAUCAUCUACAGCACCGGACAAAGCGUCAGAGCCAAUCCUGGCCGUUAAUCACGCUCUGGCCCACAGGUCAUGGCUCAUCAACCAGGCUUAAGUGCUUGCCUCCUUAUUAAUCAAGGAUGCAGCGGUACGAUCCUAUAGAACAGAUCCUGUUCAAGUAAGGUCGUGCUACACCGCGCGAGGCGCAGCCUUAUAAGCUAGCUGAACGCAGUCUGCGCUUCCGAGGUGGUACUACUACUACUACGUUUCGCUAAGCUGUUCAGCUCGCCGCGCUAGCUAGCUAGGAUCUAGCUUGGGCCGUGGCCCAUGGGCCUUUCUCCUGUAAAAAAGGCCUAGGCCUUUGAGGAGGGCGGUCCAGUUGUUAGAGGGAGCUUGGGUGGCGUUCUUCAGAGCGGCUCGUGGCAAGUCCAGGCCAUUGUAAUCCAUGUCACUUGUUUCUUGAUUAAAAAAAAAGGCCUUUGUGUAGUGCAGUCCAUGUAUGGCUCAUCGCAUCUGGUCGAGUAAACAAACGGCUUUGUAUUGCAGUUGAUAUUCUGCGCCUUUUUUAGAUUCAUUCAUUCACAAGUAAACACAUAUCGAGCCACAUUAGAUUUAGCAUGUUUUUACCGUUGUCAUUUAUAUAGUGUUCUGACACGAUGGCAAACACAAAUGUGCCAGCAGCGAGGCAGUAAAGUUCGGAGACAGGUACUCUGCAACUUUAUGUUGUUGGGCUGCGUUUCGCUGUAACUUUGCAUAGGAAAAAGUUUACUUUUUCUCCUCUAAUUUUCAAGAUAAUCCACUUUUCCUCUCGUAGCUCUAAAACUGGACAAAUUAUCUUCCUUAAUUUUUUUAAACCGUGUAUUUUACUUCCCUGAAGUGAUUUUGAAGACAAUUUUGCUACAAUAAAGAUAUGAUGCUGAAAAUCCUAUCUCUACCGCAAGAAGCAAAGAUGAAAAUAGUUGGUCUUCUUUUUUCACGGUGGGAGGCAUGCAAUAAGGCAAAGGUUGGUGAACAGUUGUGGUCGACAACAGAGAUUGUUCACAGAGCCAUGUCAACAAGCCUUUUUUUGCUCUAUGCAGUGGUGAGAGAAAGGUGUAAAACCGGAGAUGGAGAAGGUACACUGGUGUCCGCCAAACUCAGAAUAUGUGAAAAUUAAAUUUGAUGGUUCUUUUAUCGAGGACAAAAAGAGUGGAGCCUGGGGAUUUACUAUGAGGAAUCAUGAAGGAUCUAUGAUCUUGGCAGGUGCAUGAAACUUAGAUAAUGUUUAUGAUGCUCUAUGUGCAGAAGCGCAUGCAUGCUUGAUAGCUAUCACCGUGGCAGUAGAUCAAGGAAUGAUGCAAAUUCAGUUUAAAUCGGAUUCUAUGGUUUUGGUAAAAGCUCAUAGAUCUCCUGAUUAUGAUCUUUCAGCUGGAGAUACUAUGUUUAGAGAAGCUAAAUUUCUUCUAGACACUCAUCAUUUCUUUUGAUAUAAGUUAUGUUCCACGUUCUUAUAAUGUCUGUGCACAUGAGUUAACUCGCUAUGUUUGUCAUUGGACCCGGAUCAAUCUUAUGUCUUGGUUGAUUCUCUCCCAGAGUUUGUAAUCUCUGUAGCGGUUCGUAACCUUCACGAUCCACCAGAGACAUAAUAAAGCUGCAAGUCUUUAUCUUAAAAAAAUGUAAAACGCUCUAAGCACUCUGGCGCAAGUCCACACUAAAACUCAAAAAUACAUGUAUUUUUCUGUAUUUAUUUCAUACAUAAAUUAACGACGCUGUUCUUUCUUUUAGUAGUUGUGGAAGACGUACCCAUCUACCAAUCUCAGAAUAUGGCGUAUAAAGGGGAGUGAAUGCAUAUUUUUAUGCACUUGUUUUAAGAAAAAAAAGUGAAAACAUGUUUUUUAAGUAUAGUAUACACCUCCAACAACUCAUUUGUCAGUAGAAUUUCAUAAUCCAACCUAAUCUCAGUUCAGAACUCUAAAAUCUACUGUUGGCAGCUUUAGAAUUUAGAAACCGCAAAUCCGCAAUCCCCACUUAAAUAAAGCAGAAUCAGAUUGCUUUCUGCAAAAAUUCCACACCCGCAUCCUCAAGCUUUUCACUGAAGUAUACAAAGGACAAAAUUUAGAAUCUUUUUCCUCAACGAGCGAGGCUGUCAAACAGUAGCCUAGAACGUGUUCAAAAAUCACAUUGCUCCGAGAACCUUGUGAAAGCAAAGCCUGAAGUAACAGUUCAUGCCCAAAGUCACACAAAUGCAGCACUGUCCUCUUCAUGGUGUAUGCAGUUCCUCAAACCCAAUGUCCUUUGAUGAUUGACGUAUAGGCCACCUGAAAUGCAAUGAGGAGAUUAGUAGUGUCACUACCAAUUUGCAUGGCGAAGGCAAAAACAACUCAUACAAAUUAGAUCAUACAAUGGAUUUUGGGCACAAAAUGUUAUUUUACAUCUUAAGUGGACUGAAAAUCGGGGGACAACUGUGAUACAUCAAACAUUGUAAACAACACAUUAGAAAAUACUCCCUUCUUUUACUCCCACUUGUAGGAUGAAUAGUGAAUGCUAGAAGUGCAUGCAAAGUGCAUAAAUAAUAUACACAGUCAUUUCCCUAAACUAUCAAUGCUAGCUUCCAAAAGAGUAAAAUCUAUUGAACACAAACCUAUCUUUAAUGCUGCCAAAGAAAUUUAAUAAUACUAUUAAUAAUAUAUACAUAUAUCUUCAACAAGCAUCAGAGAUCCUGGUCAUCUGGUGUUAGUGCUGCAAACCUUUUUCAAUUCAAAAAUAUUAUAAAAGAAAACAAAUUCUACAACACACAUGCACACACAGAAUUCCCUGUAUUUUAACCAACCCCAUCCCAGCACUGAGGCAUAAAUCAUCAUCCUCUGAUCUUGCUGUCCACAUUUAUACCCUCCUUCAUGUAUAUGGUCUAUAAAACAGCACGUCAUGUUUAAUUUAUAAUAUUGUUUGAGGGAAGAAACAUUUUAUCAUACCAAAAAUCAUCUAGCAUGUCUAUCAACCUUGAAUAGGACUCACAGAAUUGCCGAUCUAUGAGAGAGGCUUAGGUAUAACUUCAUUUUGCUUUGUACAAAGCAAAAGUAAAAUUCCAUGUAAACUAAUUUGGCAAGAAUAAAACAACAAUGCCACCAUAGCACCUGAGGAAUGAGCCAAAUUUCUCACUCCUGCUGCCCAAAAAUAUGCUCUUCAUCAUCUAAGCCCCAGUAAUGACGUGGAUAGCCCAUGAUGAAUUGAUUAUUAUGUUCAAAGGGGAAAAAACUACGUUUACCCUAUAUCAUGCAGCCGGUCUAUCAAGAAUGAACCUAGCUCGCAGAGCUGCCAUUACAUGACAAAACUCAGGAAAUAAUUUCAGUUUGGUUUGUACAAAGCCAAAGAAAAAUAUAGGUGCGAAAUUUUGGUCCAGGGGAAACCCACAGCAGCGCCUUCAUGUCACAUGGGCACCAAAGGCAACUGAAAAUCAAAUCACUGCACGUCUAAUGAUCAUGAAUCUCUAAUUUUGCAGAACUUCUAUUCAAAGGCACAUGACUAACUUCACUUCGGUUUUAUAUGAAGCUAAAUAAAACAAAUCUUGCUAACAAAUUUGGCUCCAAAAAAAUGACAGCAGCAUUUCAGUUUAGUAUUUAGAAACAAUUUCAAACACUGGCCAGUCAGAAAACUAAAAAUACAAGGAAAGCACAGUACAAAAUCCACCCAAAUACAGUAGAAAGAACACACAAACAUCUACUGUUAAGUGUUAAGAACCAAAGGAAACAACUCAAUACACUACCACCCUUUUUAGUCCACUAUAUGUAUCUACUUAUCUAGCUAGAUGGAAUUUCAGAACUAGAACACUGCCCUUCAUUAGAUACUAAUAAAGUAACGAUAAAGAUGCCCAUACAAAAAUGUGAAGAAGUUGCAAGAAUGAAUUAUGAGGAUGGCAAACCUUAGAAGAUAUUCUUUACAGAACUAGUUACCAGAACAAGUCUUAGCUCUUUCUCUUUCCCUCUGUCAGGCCACCAAGGAGCUCCCACUGGUGUUUUCCAGCACAGCUAGAAGCAUAAGCAGCAGCAAGACCUGGGACACUCAUCUCGUGCGGGUGCACAAGUUUAGCCAGGAGAUUAUCAUUGCCCAUCACUGCAAUAGUAUAGAAGCUGAAACUAGAAGUCACCAAUCCCUUGUCCUCGAGAAAUUUCAUCAAGUAAUAGCGCGGCAACAACCGACGCUCCACACUAUACAAUAGCAACACUGGCCGAUACACAAUGUCUGGCAUCUGCAACCCAACAUCACCCAUUAGAAAAUCCAAGCUUUUGCGAACCCUUUCCGGAGCUAAGUUCAGGAUAUUCGGCGCCUUCCUCACUGCUGACGCUAUAUCAUCCCUCGACCAGCCAAGCUUCUCAAACAGCUGUAUAUUACUCUCGAGCUUCUCACGGUUGAAGAUCGCAAACCUCAUGAACGCGAAGGGGAAAGCCCACGUGCCCUGCUGGAUUCCAAACUCGGCAACGCGUGCCAGAGUUUCCUGGAGGUGCUCAUUGCUCCUGACAAGUAUCCGGGACAAGAAAGUGCUGGGGAUAUCGGAAAUCUGCAUCCCGCAUCGCUGAAGAAGGGCCAGGUUGGGCUUGGCGACCUUGUCGAGGUUGGUGCUGAGGAGGCUGCCGUUCAUCUUGACGAACCGCAGGAGCUCGUCGAAGGAGCCGAAGACCCCAAGCCAGAAUUCAAAAUUGCGGAGGAGCGAGCGGCUGCGGAUCCGGGCCUGAGCGGCGAGUACUACCUGGCCGACCUGGUGGCUCGACAGGCCGAGGCUGCGGAGCUCGGCGACGCGGGGGGCCAAGGUCUUCCCCACGUCGACGCAGAGGAGUCUGGGAUCUUUGGCGACGACGGUGGCGAGGUCGGUGCCGGAGAUGUCGAGGCCGGCCAGGAAGGCGAGCACGGCGUCGGGCUUCGAGGGAGAGCUGAGUCCGGGGAUACUUUUGGAUGCCUUGAGGGCCUGCUCUCCGGAGAGGCCGCAUCUGGCGACGAGGUAGUCGGCGACCGUGAAGGGGCUGCUCGCGGCGGCGGCGGAACCGCAGAGGAGGCGAUGGAGGGGGGCGAUGCAGGAGGUUGAGCGGCGGGACGAGGAGAGUAGGUGUGGAAGAAUGCAAUUUCGGAGGCGGAGCAUAGCGUCGGGAGCGGCCGGCGGCCGGCGACCGACGGCGGGAGGGAUUGCGGUGAGUGAGACUGCGCCUUCAGCCUUGGGCCCUUGGCAUUUGGCAACUCCACAACCGAAGGCCGAAGCAUCCAAUUUGGGCCGUAGCCCCUCAUCCAGAUUUCAGCACUUUUCAUCACACUCCAGGCCGAUUCACACACAUUUUUCUAACCUAAUUCUCAUUUCAGCCUCCUAUAUUCCAUCCACUCAAAAAAAAAGCUGUAUUUUAUACAUAAUGUAUUACCAAGUUUAAUGGUAUUUUAAUUUAAACAGCAUUAUUUUAGAUUUGCAUUUUAAAUUGCUUAAGUUUUUAACUGAUAAAUAUUUAACAAAUUAUUUUCACAUCAAAUAAUUCGCAACUGUUAUAUUUUGAACAGGGAUCUUCCAAUGGCUAUAAAUCAAACAGCCAUCCUUCCCACGGCUAUAUUGCAAAUUUUGUCUAAUGUAUUACCAAGUUUAAUGGUAUUUUAAUUUAAACAGCAUUAUUUUAGAUUUGCAUUUUAAAUUGCUUAAGUUUUUAACUGGUAAAUAUUUAACAAAUUAUUUUCACAUCAAAUAAUUCGCAAUUGUUAUAUUUUGAACAGGGAUCUUCCAACGGCUAUAAAUCAAACAGCCAUCCUUCCCACGGCUAUAUUGCAAAUUUUGUCUCCAAGAUGCUAUAUGUUUCAUCUGCAUAUAUGCAGGGGCGAACUUACAAGCAAAUGAAUCCCGGUGCACUAUUUAAGUAACUCACACAACUUUAUUGAAACAUAUGGUGAGAAAUAAAUACCCUGGUGCCUGUGCACCAGGUUACUUCAACAUGGCUUCACCCCUGUAUAUAUGUGUGGUCUUCACUUGAUUCAUGCAUUACUUUUUUUCCACUGUGUUGUUCUUACUCCAUUAGAAAUAAGUUAUCUAACUUGAUUGGAUUCCUCUUCCUCGUAUGAUGAUAACAACGAUUUUAUGGAGUCUGAUCCUUAAUGUAUUACACUAAAAACACACUCAAUAUUAACCUCUUCAUGCUUCACAAAGGGUGAAUCUAUACCUAGGCGUUAUUACAUUCACUGGAACAGAGAAAGUGGUAAAUGGAGGGUUUUUCUGAAAAUCCAACCUACAUCCAUAUUUUCUUUUUUUUUUUUCUAUUUGUCCCUCAAGUUUAGCAUGACUCGUUCUCUAAUUCUACACAUAUGGUUCAUAAUCAUACAUACUCCCUCCGUCCACAAAUAAAUGCAUAUCUCAUAUCCCGAGGAGUCAAACCUUUUUAAGUUCGACCAAGUAUAUAAAAAAAUAUACUAAUAUUUAUCAUAUGUAACAUGUAUCAUUAGAUUGACCAUGAAAUAUACUUUUAUAAUAUACUUAUUUGUAGAUACAAAUAAUAAUACUACUCCCUCUAUCCCAAAUUGUAAGUCAUUCCAAGAAUCUUGGAGAGUCAAAGCAUUUUCACAUUUGACUAAAAUUAUAGAGAAAAAUACUAAGAUUUGUAACGUAAAGUAAGUAUACUAUGAAAAUAUAAUUAAGAAAGAAUCUAAUGAUACUUAGUUAGUACUAUAAUAAUAAUUAUUUUAUAAUAUAAAUUUGGUCAAACUUAAAAAAGUUUGACUCUCCAAGAUUCUUGGAAUGACUUACAAUUUGGGAUGGAGGGAGUAUUUGAUAUAUUUCUAGUCGAUUUUAAAAAAGUUUGACUCCUCGAAAAGCGAGAUGUGCAUUUAUUUAUGGACGGAGAGAGUAUGAGUUUCUUGGAUUCAUAUGUCUGUAUCACAAAUAGACAAUUCACACCCAACAUUUUGAGUUUCACUAGAUUUUGUUGUUACGUUUGGGUCCUCAGUGUUUUGUUUUUGGUUUAGACUCAAGCAGGGCGGAUCUAAAGGGGGGCUGGGGGGCUCUAGCCCCCCCCCCCCCCGGCCCGCCAACAAUAGUUAGUGCAUCAAUGGAAAUAUGGGGAGGGUGAGGAAGAAGAAGGGGUGGAGGAAAGAAGAAAAAUGGAGAGAAGAAGAGAUCAACCCCUUUAAUCUUAUUUUGCAUCCGCCACUGGACUCAAGAAUAUAAUAUUCAUAAUCAUGUACUAUGAUGAAUGCAUGCUUAAAAUAUAAUCACUUAAAAAAGUGAUUGUCCAUUAUAGUUAAGGACUUUAAGGUAUAUGGCGCAUGUGUCACCUCUGCCAUGACAAUGAGCUUGUUCACUUAGCUAAAAAGUCAUAGUUGAAAGUAUUAUUCGCUGAUUUGUUAUGAGAGAAAAAUACUAUUGAAUGAGUAGUAGAUUCAGCAAAGAUAAGCUCGAAGACAGCAGAGGAUUUACACCAUUUAUGGUCAUUCCACGUAACACAUGCCAUCGUCAUGCGCUAUUGCGCUGGGAUAUUUUUCGCAACAACAUUCCUCGUCCAAGCACUGCAUACACACGCAUCAAACUAGGCAACCCAUCGUGGAUUCAUGUUACUACUCCAGAAAGAAUCAAUGGUCGAUCGAUAGAGCGAUGGAGUAAUUAACGAUGAUUGAUCGAAAAUUGAAUAUGGUACAGGCCAUCGAUAUAGAUUGAUUCAUCCACACUGAUGUUACAUGCGAUCUGUGCUUAGUUUACAUCGAUCUCGUGCAACUACUACACGCCUACGAUUGAAAACAACAAGUAGAGUACAAGAGACCUCGCUCGACAUGCACGCAUGGAUGCUCUGCUCAGCUUCAGCUCGCUCGCUCGAUCAGCUUUAGUUGCCGGGGACGAAGUUGGUGGCGUAAGCCCAGGCGUUGUUGGCGACGGGGUCAGCGACAUGGUCGAAGAGGUUCUCGAUGGGUCCCUUGCCGGUGACGAUGGCCUGGACGAAGAACCCAAACAUGGAGAACAUGGCGAGGCGGCCGUUCUUGAGCUCCUUCACCUUGAGCUCCGCGGCGGUGUCGGGGUCAUCGGCGAGCCCGAGCGGGUCGAACGCGCCGCCGGGGUAGACCUUGUCGAGCCCUUCCCCGAGCGGGCCGCCGCCGACGCGGUAGCCCUCGACGAAGCCCAUGAGCACGACCUGGCACGCCCAGAUGGCCAGGAUGCUCUGCGCGUGCACCAGGUUCGGGUUGCCCAGGUAGUCCAGCCCGCCCUCCGAGAAGAUCUGCGCGCCGGCCUUGAACCACACCGCCUCGCCGAACUUGACGCCGUUCUUGGCCAGGAUCUCCGGGAACACGCACCCCAGCGCGCCCAGCAUCGCCCACCGCGAGUGGAUCACCUCCAGCUCGCGGUUCCGCGCGAACGUCUCCGGGUCCGCCGACAGCCCCGCCGUGUCCCACCCGUAGUCGCCGGGGAACUCGCCGGUCAGGUACGACGGC
rnacentral:lncRNA from 1 species